UCCAAUCAAGUCUUGUCAAUAUCAAUGUAACUUGGGUGUCGAUAAGGUGUAAACCAUAAUCCACCAAAAUGGAUGAUUGAUAUUGACAAUGACUUGAUUCAUCCCUUGAACUUUGUUUGCCUUGUGUGUGAUCCCUUAUUUGUGAUUGUUGCAUUCAUGCAUUCAUGCGCAUCAUAACAUUCAUCACACGAAAAUUUCAAGGAAUUGAGGUAUUAUUUGCAAAUAUUUUCAGACCAUGUUCCCUUAUUUGUGAUUGUUGCAUUCAUGCAUUCAUGCGCAUCAUAACAUUCAUCACACGAAAAUUUCAAGGAAUUGAGGUAUUAUUUGCAAAUAUUUUCAGACCAUGGAUUGUGGACGAAGGAACACUAAAAAGUACAGUUUUAGAUGUUCUGACUUGAAAGAGUUAAGGAAGCUAGCAUAUUUUGUAUUAGAUCCCUUAGACUUCAAACAACGUCAUGGGAAGCUUUUGUCCAUCUUGUCUGCUGAUAUGGUUGAAGGACUUUUGAGUGUGCUAGUGCAGUUCUAUGAUCCUCUCUACCGUUGUUUCACUUUCCCAGAUUUUCAGCAUGUGCCUACCUUGGAGGAGUAUGCCCAUCUCUUGGGAAUACCUGUUUCUGACAAAGUACCUUUUAGUGGAUUGGAGGAGAUUCCCCGAUCUAGUAUUAUUGCUAAAGCUCUUCACUUGAAGAAGUCUGAGAUAGAGGCUCAUUGGGUGAAGAAAGGAGGAUUGUUUGGGUUGCCAUGUGAUUUCCUCAUCAAGGAAGCUACUUCUUUUGCUCAAGCUGGUAGUGUGGAUGCUUUUGAAGCUAUCUUUGUGUUGCUCAUUUAUGGAUUAGCUUUGUUCCCUAACAUUGACGGUUUAUUGAUGUUAACGCCAUUAGACUUUUCUUGAUUGGGAAUCAUAUGCCCACUUUGUUGGGUGAUAUAUAUUUCUCUUUGCAUCUAAGGAAUUAUAAGGGUGGUGUAACUAUUGUCUGUUGCAUUCCUCUUCUGUACAAGUGGUUUAUUUCGCACUUGCCUCAGACACCUGCUUUUGUGGAGAACAAACAAUGUCUACGGUGGUCUCAAAGACUUAUGUCUCUCACUAAUGAUGAUUCUCUUCUGUACAAGUGGUUUAUUUCGCACUUGCCUCAGACACCUGCUUUUGUGGAGAACAAACAAUGUCUACGGUGGUCUCAAAGACUUAUGUCUCUCACUAAUGAUGAUAUAGUUUGGUAUGAUCCGUCUUUGAGCGGUUUAGAGAUUGUUGAUAGUUGUGGUGAAUUCUCUAAUGUGCAUCUCAUUGGUACACAAGGAGGAAUUAACUAUAACCCUGCUUUGGCUCGUCGUCAGCUUGGGUUCCCCUUGAGAGACAAACCUAAUAACACUUUGUUAGAAGGUCUUUUCUAUCAAGAGGGUAAAGACCCCCAACAUUUGAAGCAGAAGAUUGUACAUGAUUGACGUAAUAUGCAUAGGAAAGGAAGAUCCGAGCUUGGUUUGCGCAAUUGUGUAGCUUUAGAAGCUUACACUCUUUGGGUGAAGAAGAGAGCUUUGGAGUUGAAGAUGCCUUAUCCUUGUGAAAGACCUAUGUCUAUGGUUGUGGUUGAGCCAUUAACUCUCCCUAACCAAGAUGUAGAGGAGUUGGUUUUGGGUGAAGAAGAGAGCUUUGGAGUUGAAGAUGCCUUAUCCUUGUGAAAGACCUAUGUCUAUGGUUGUGGUUGAGCCAUUAACUCUCCCUAACCAAGAUGUAGAGGAGUUGGAAGACGCGCUCGUCAAUAUGAAGCAAGAGAAAGAUAUGUGGGAAGAGCGUUUUCGUGCUUUGAGCAAGAAGCACGAAGAGUUGCAGUUGGAGUCUAAGGAUAAAGAUGCACUUAUUGAGCUACUUGAAGACCGAGUGACAAAGAGACAGAGAGAGCCAAAGGUUUCAUAUUCUAGCAUGUCUCAGCCUUCCGUUUCCUGGAAGAAGAUUGUUGAUCAGCUUGUCCUCGAGAAGACUCAAAUGAAGGCUUCUAUUGAGACCGAGAUUCGACGCAUUCGAAGAAAGUAUGCGCCUUCGGCCAAAUCUUCUGACAUCAUUGUUAGGGAUCCUUAGGAUGACUAGUCUCCUUUCCUCUUGUAUUUUUCAUUGGGUACAAGCCUGAGCUCCGUUGUGCUUUUCAUCAAGGAGCACCCGGACAUGAUAUCGAGAACUGUUAUCCACUCAAGUAUGAGGUUCAAAAGCUGAUGAAGAGUGGAAUGGUGUCCUUCGAGGACCAUGCGCCAAAUGUGAAAGCAAAUUCGUUGCCCGCUCAUGGGAACUCUUCUGUGAACAUGGUGGAUCGGUGUCCUGGCGAGUUUAAGGUUUUUGGUGUGCGCUUUAUUCGAAGAUCCUUGGCACAGAUGCAUAAGGAUGUCUGUUUGGUGAGUGAUUGUGAACAUGACCAUGGCGGUUGUGUUAUUUGUAGUGUCAACCCAAGGGGUUGUGAAGUUGUGAAAAGGGACAUCCAACGGCUGAUGGAUGAAGGCAUGAUUCAAAUUGUUCAAUCUCGUCAUAUAGAUGACGAUGUGAAUGUCAUAGUGCCCAUUUUCAAGCAGCCAGAGAGAUUGGUAAUCCAGUAUGAUAGCAACAACCGUAACAAUGUCAGCAAUAGAUCAGUAUUGUCGUUGGUAAUACGGUUAGCGGGCCCAGUCCCGUAUUUAUCUGAUAAAGUUGUUCUGUAUCAGUAUAAUGCUACAAUGACAGAAGGUGGUCUAGAGGUCCCGUUGCCUAUGACUAGCUAUAUGGUGAGCAUUGUUGAUGUUAUCAAGGUGACCACAAUGGUUGUGUGUUUGGGCCGGUGUUCCCAAAGAAUAAGGAAAAAUCAAUUGUGAGUAAGAAGGUGGAAGUGCUUGUUGAAUAUCCAGUUGGUGUUUCAAAGGGUAAGUCUGGUGAAUCCAUCAAUUUGAAGGCUAACAAUGAUGAUGAGGUACUUCGGUUAAUCAAGAGGAGUGAGUUUAAUGUGGUGGAACAGUUGCUCCAAACCCCCUCAAAAAUCUCAGUGUUGUCUCUGCUCAUGAAUUCUGAAGCGCACAGAGAAGCACUGCAGAGAGUUUUGGAAUAAGCAUUUGUAAAACAUGAUGUUAUAGUGGAUCAAUUUGAUCAUAUUAUGUCUAACAUCACUUCCUGUAAUAAUCUUAGCUUCUGUGAUGAAGAGCUCCCUGAGGAGGGAAGAAACCAUAAUCUGGCUUUGCACAUUUCUAUGAAUUGCAAAGAGGAUGCUUUGUCAAAUGUGCUUGUUGACCCUGGAUCGUCAGUGAAUGUGUUGCCGAAGUUAACUCUGUCAAAGCUAUCAUAUGAAGGAGUGCCUAUGAGGUAUAAUGGUGUAAUCGUCAAGGCCUUUGACGGUUCGCGCAAAACGGUUAUUGGUGAAGUGGACCUUCCAGUUAAGAUAUGUCCAAGUGAUUUUCAGAUUACUUUUCAAGUAAUAGAUAUCCACCCGGCCUACAGUUGCUUGUUGGGAAGGCCAUGGAUCCAUGAGGAAGGAGUUGUUACCUCCACUUUGCACCCGAAACUCAAAUUUGUGAAGAAUGGCAAGCUUGUGAUUGUCGGUGGAGAGAAGGCGUUAUUGGUUAGUCACCUGUCGUCUUUCUCUUAUGUUGAAGCUAAGGAUGAGGUUGGAACUCUGUUCUAGGCCUUAUCUAUUACUGCUGAAAAGAGAGUUAGGGCACAUAUGUCCUUAUUGAAAGAUUCUAAGAAGAUUGUGGAAGAAGGCAAUGCUGAUCAGUGAGGGCGCAUGGUAGAGGUCUCUGACAACAAAGGCAGAACCGGUUUGGGGUUUCAGAAAGGUUCAUCAACUGCAAGGACUGAAGAUAUGCAACUUAGCUUUCGUAGCGGAGGGUUCAUUCAUGGCAAUGAACAACACUUAGUUGUUAUGCUAGAAGAUGACGAAGAGGAAGACUGCACCAAUUUUGUGACGCAUGGAAAGGCCUUCAACAAUUGGACUGUUGUUGAUAUUCCUGUUAUUUUGCAUCGAUCUAAGUAAUUACUUUUAUAUGUUUUUAAAAUCCUUCUCCUAUGCCUAAGGGAGAAGUGAACAUUGUUUGGGAAUUUCCAAAUUGAUCAUUAUUAAAAUUAAUUCUAUUCAUCCACAUCUAUGAUGUUUUAUUUUUACUUUUUGCUUUAUUCUGAAAAUGUUAAUCACAAAAAAAAACAUAAAUAAACAAUAUAAUUGUCCAUCUGCAUAAUAUUUGGCCAUAAAUCCACUUCUCUAAAAUCAAAAUAUCAAAUCAUUAUGCAGGUUGGUUCCUAACCCCAUUGAAUACAAUGAUCCUUCUCCUUCUCCAAAUUUUAAAUUCCAUGUGUUUGAAGCCGAGGAGGAAAGUGAUGUAGAAGUGAGUGAUGAGUUAUCUCGUCUUCUUGAGCAAGAUGAAAAGACCAUUUAGCCGUUCGAAGAGCAGAUUGAGCUAGUCAACUUGGGUUCCGAGGAUGAUGUGAAGGAAGUCAAGAUUGGGUCUCGCCUGUGUCCAGAUGUCAAGAAGGGGUUGAUUGAUCUUCUUCGACUCAUAAGUCUACACAAACGAACCAGGAUAGUAGACAUGCCUGGUUUGGAUUCUGAGAUUGUGGAGCAUAGAUUGUCGUUGAAGCCAGAAUGCCCGCCAGUCAAGCAGAAGUUGAGAAGAAUGCAUCUUGAUAUUGUUGUGAAGACUAAAGAGGAAGUGCAGAAACAAAUUGAUGUCGGUUUCCUUGUGACCACUGAGUAUCCGCAAUGGGUGGCCAAUAUUGUGCCUGUGCCGAAGAAAGAUGGAAAAGUCCGCAUGUGUGUUGAUUACAGAGAUUUGAAUAAAGCCAGUCCGAAAGAUGAUUUCCCUCUACUAUACAUUGAUAUGUUCAUAGAAAAUACUGCUAAAUUCAAGGUCUUUUCGUUUAUGGAUGGAUUUUCUGAAUAUAAUCAGAUCAAGAUGGCACCCGAAGAUAUGGAGAAGACCACAUUCAUUACACCUUGGGGAACAUUCUGUUAUAGAGUGAUGCCUUUCGGUUUGAAGAAUGCUGGUGCAACUUACUAAAGAGCAAUGACUACUCUUUUUCAUGAUAUGAUGCGUAAAGAGAUUGAAGUUUAUGUCGAUGACAUGAUUGCCAAAUCGAUUGAUGAAUAGGAACAAGUUGAGCAUUUUUUGAAGUUAUUCUAGCGUUUGAGGAAAUAUAAACUCCGCUUGAAUCCCAAUAAGUGUACCUUUGGUGUUCGUUCUAGUAAGUUGUUGGGCUUUAUUGUCAGCGAGAAGGGUAUUGAAGUUGAUCCUGCCAAGGUCAAAGCAAUACAAGAGAUGCAUGCGCCCAUAACUGAGAAGCAAGUCAGAGGUUUUCUCGACCGCUUGAAUUAUAUUUCCAGAUUCAUUUCCCACAUGACUGCCACAUGUGCGCCUAUAUUCAAGCUUCUUCGGAAAGAUCAGUCUGGUGAUUGGAUCGAAGACUGCCAGAAAGCAUUUGACAGUAUCAAGGAAUAUCUGCUUGAACCUCCGAUUUUGUCUCUGCCUGUGGAAGAAAGACCAUUGAUCAUGUAUUUGACUAUGCUUGAAGAUAGUAUGAGUUGUGUUCUAGGUUACCAAGAUGAGACUGGAAAGAAAGAAUUUGCAAUCUACUACCUCAGUAAGAAGUUCAUCGACUGGGAGACUCGGUAUUCUAUGCUUGAGAAAACUUGUUGCGCAUUGGCUUGGGCUGCUAAGCAUUUGCGUUAGUAUAUGUUAAAUCAUACCACUUGGUUGAUAUCCAAAAUGGAUCUGAUCAAGUAUAUAUUUUAGAUGCCUGCUUUAACUGGGAGGAUUGCUUGUUGGCAGAUGUUGUUAUCAGAGUAUGAUGUCGAAUACCGAUCUCAGAAAGCGAUCAAAGGUAGUAUCUUGGCUGACCAUUUGGCUCACCAACCGAUUGAAUAUUACCAGUCAGUGCAGUAUGACUUUCCUGAUGAAGAGAUUUUGUACUUGAAAAUGAAAGAUUGUGAUGAACCAUUGCUUGAAGAAGGGUCAGAACCUGGUUUCCGUUGGGGCAUGGUAUUAGAAGGAGUUGUUAAUCAAUAUGGAAAUGGCAUUGGGGCAGUGAUCAUUACUCCUCAAGGCACGCAUAUACCAUUUACAGCUAGAUUGACUUUAAAGUGUACGAACAACAUGGCAAAAUAUGAAGCUUGCACUAUGGCGCUUAAAGAGGCCAUGAAUCUCAAAAUCAAGUAUUUAGAUGUCUUCGGCGACUCAACUUUGGUUGUGAAUCAGAUCAAAGGAGAAUGGGAGACAAAUCAACCCGGUUUAAUACCAUAUAGAGAUUAUGCGAGGAGGAUUUCAACUUUCUUUACAAAGGUUGAGUUUCAUCAUAUUCCUCGAGAUGAGAACUGGAUGGCAGAUGCUCUUGCAACGUUGGCGUCAAUGAUUGUGGUAAAGUAUUGGAAUGAAGUUCCCAAUUUGUCUGUGAUGCGUCUUGAUAGGCCAACUCAUGUGUUUGUUGUUGAAGAGAUCAAAGAUGAGAAGUCGUGGUAUUACGACAUCGAAUGUUUCCUCCAAAGUUAAAUUUACCCGCCUGGGGCAUCUUUAAAAGAUAAGAAGACUUUGAGAAGAUUAGCCGAUAAUUUCUACUUGAAUGGUGAUAUACUGUACAAGAGAAACUUCGACAUGGUUUUGCUCAGAUGCGUGGAUAGACACGAAGCAGACCUGUUGAUGACUGGAGUGCAUGAAGGUUCCUUUGAUACUCAUUCCAAUGGACAUGCAAUGUCAAAGAAGAUGUUGCGAGCAGGUUACUAUUGGCUGACAGUGGAAUCAGAUUGUUGCAAGUUUGUGAAGAAGUGCCACAAGUGUCAAAUAUAUGCUGAUAAGAUUCAUGUUCCUCCGACGCUUUUGAAUGUUAUUUCUUCCCCAUGGCCUUUCUCCAUGUGGGGAAUUGAUAUGAUUGGGAUGAUUGAGCCCAAAGCAUCAAAUGGACAUCAUUUCAUUUUGGUGGCAAUUGACUACUUCACAAAAUGGGUUGAAGCGGCAUCAUAUGCUAAUGUAACCAAGUAAGUUGUUGUGAGGUUUAUUAAGAAUCAGAUCAUAUGCCGUUAUGGUGUGCCAAGUAAGAUCAUUACAGAUAAUGGAUCGAACUUGAAUAACAAUAUGGUGGAAGCUCUUUGCAAAGAUUUUAAGAUUGCACAUCAUAACUCUUCUCCCUACAGAUCUAAGAUGAAUGGGGUUGUUGAAGCUGCAAACAAAAACAUUAAGAAGAUUAUUCAGAAGAUGGUUGUCACGUAUAAGGAUUGGCAUGAGAUGCCCCCGUUUGCUUUGCAUGGGUAUUGUACAUCCGUUCUCACUUCAACAGGGGCAACCCCUUUCUCUCUUGUGUAUGGUAUGGAAGUUAUGCUCCGUGUAGAGGUUGAGAUUCCUUCAUUACGUGUGCUCAUGGAAGCCAAGUUAACUGAGGCUGAAUGGUGUCAGACCAGGUAUGACCAGCUGAAUUUGAUUGAAGAGAAGAGAUUGACUGCCAUGUGUCAUGGUCAGUUAUAUCAGUAGAGGAUGAAGAAAGCUUUUGAUAAGAAGGCCAGACCUUGCGUAUUCAGAGAAGGCGGCCUUGUGGUCAAGAAGUUCUUGUCAUUCAAACCAGAAUCUAGGGGGAAAUGGACUCCUAAUUAUGUAGGCCUGUAUGUUGUUAUGAGAGCCUUUUCAGGUGGUGCUUUGAUUCUUACAACUAUGGAUGGUGAAGAGUUCACUCGUCCUGUGAACGCAGAUGCGGUAAGGAAAUACUUCGCCUAAAAAGAAAAGAACAACUCGCUAAGCUGAAAACCCGAAAGGGCGACUUAGGCAAAAAAAGAGCGUCUCAAUGGAUUGAAAACCUGAAAGGGCGAUCCAGGCAAAAAUUAGAGACAUAAAAACAGAAAAAAGAAUUUCUCGAUAAGUUGAGUACCCCACCUUGGGGCAGCUUAUGCAAAAAUUAGGGAUUAUGGCAAGUAACUGCAGCCUACUGAUCAUCCAAUUUUGGAAAGACCUUAGUUGAGCAUAAGGUUGAUCUCAAUUCAUCAUCCCAUCAGCGGUCAAGAGCAUAGUGGAUAUGAAGAAUUGGUCGAAGGAUUAAGGAUCAUUUGUAUUCAAUGUAACCCUUUUCCAUGUAAAUUACCAUUUUCAACUUUGUAAAAAUCUAUGGAGUCUUGUCAUUUACAGACUACCAUCCCAUUAAAUAAAGUUGAGCUUUUUGGAUCAUUUGUAUUCAAUGUAACCCUUUUCCAUGUAAAUUACCAUUUUCAACUUUGUAAAAAUCUAUGGAGUCUUGUCAUUUACAGACUACCAUCCCAUUAAAUAAAGUUGAGCUUUUGUCCAAAUUAUUUCUACUCUUAUUUACUUCAGCCAAUAGUUUAAAUUUUAUUAUGAUCAUUUUGGAAAUUUAAAACUUUUAAUCAAAAUCUCUUUUUCUUAAAACAUAUAAAAACAAGAAAUUUUCAAACCAAAUUAAAAAGGAAGUACCAACAGCACUUCAAAGAGUAGCAAGUCCUUAAGUGCUAAGCAUCAGAGGUUCCCCAAGCAGUUAACCCUUCGGGUGUUCCUAGUUGUUUGUGUUGAUCUGUUUCCCCUGCGAAGUGUUUGUUCCCUAGCGGAGUUUUGAUUCUUUUCCCCAGCUAAGUUGGUUAAUUCAGUACCUUACAACAUGUUAUUUCCCCGCCAGUGUUUCUGUAUCCCCCAACGGUAUUCACGUUUAUUCAGCAGGGUUAAUCUUCAGCGGAGUAAGAUGUUUUCCCCAGUAGAUUACAUUGGUUUCCCCACUAGUCGCCAUCUGACUCGCUCCCAGUCAGAGUUUCCUCCUGAUUUCUGAGCAGCUGUUUUGUGUUUAUCUUCUGUAUGAUUGUCUGCCAUUUAAUAUGGCGUAGACCUAAAGUUCCUUGCAGACUCGAUAACGUCGCCUCUCUUCAACAGAUCUCUUCCCUCGGAUAGUUUUGAGCCUUUGGCUUGUUGAUUUCUCUGUUCUCCAGCAGUUGUCUCCCUUUUUUUGUGGAUUGACCGAGGAUUAUACCGAUGAUUCAAAUUCUUUGCGACACCUUUGUAUCCUUUGUGAUCGUUUUGUCAGCAUAAUAAUUAUAUAUACAUAUACAUAUACAUUUAUAUACUUUCAUAAUUACACCAUUAUAUUUGAUUGAUUUGUCUAUUUGAGAUUCUCAUUCUCUGUAUGGCGGUACUUUAUCCCCAUACAAGUUCGGUGUCUGUCCUCCCUCAGUUGUAGAGUGUUAACCCCUUAGGCAUAAAGACUUUAACCUUUCUCCUCUUCCCCACUGAGUUGUCUCCUAGUGGAUGAUUAUUAAUUCAGUUUCCUCCCCAGUUGUUUAUCUGGAUGGAAUCAAUCCUCUUAAGUUAUGUCCUCAUCGGGUUGAGUCUUGGUUGACUGUUUCCUUAUAGCUCUUACCUAGAUAGAUGCUUUGAGUCUCCUAAGAGCUUAUUACCCAGUAACUGGUAAUAUUCUUGUUAGUUUGCAGUUUGUUACUUCUUACCCAAUACCUGGAAAAAAUACCCCCCGUUUUCCCAGCAGUGGAAUUCCUAGUGGAUUCAUUUGUUUAUGAUUCCCCAAAAAGUAUAUCCUUGAUAUGUUCACCCUAACCAGUGACGGAUAUCUUUCUUUCCCCUGCCUGAGUCUAUCCUUGAUGUGUUCAUCCUAACCGAUGACGAAUAUUCCCGUCCUUGGUAUUCUACCCAGUAAAAAGGUAGUUGUAAUCCCUAUUCUUGUUCCCCAGAGAGUUAAUACUUGAUAUGUUCAUCAUAACUGAUGACGGGUUUCCUUCUCUUUGCGGUCUUCUACCUAAUAACUGGUAGUUGUAAAUCCUGCUUUUGUCCCUUUCGCAGAGUUAAUCCUUGAUAUGUUCAUCUUAACCGGUGACAAAUUUUCUCUUUGAUGGUAUUCUAUCCAGUAACUGAUAGAUGUAAUUCCUAUUUUCUUCCCUCUCAGAGUCUAUCCUUGAUAUGUGCAUCUUAACCGGAGACGGAUUCUCUCUUUGAUGAUCUUCUAUCCAACAUUCGAUAGAUGUAAUUCCUAUUUUUUGUUCAGUUGGUUUAUCCUUGAUAUGUUCAUCUUAACCGAUGACGGGUAUCCUCCUUGACAAUCCCAGGCAAGUUUAUCCUUGAUAUGUUCAUCUUAAUCGAUGACAGAUCUUCUUCCCUGUCGAGUCUAUCCUUGAUAUGUUCAUCUUAACCGAUGAUAGAUAUUCUCACCUUUGGUCUUCUGCCCAGUAACCGGUAGUUGUAAAUCCUAUUUUCUGUAGUUUUCCCCAGCAAUGCUGUUCUUACCCAGUAACCGGUAAUGAAUACUCCCUCCUGGAUUUUCUCAGUGAGUCAUCCUUGAUAUGUUCAUCCUAACCGAUGACGGAUGUCCUCUCUGUCAGAUCUUUAUUAUCUCCUUACCCCAGUAAUAGGUAGUAGAUAAUAGAUUUCUAUUCCUCCUAUGUUGAAGUUUAUUUCUUCCCCAGUCGAGUUGAGUGUGCAUUUCCUUAGUGAAAUUGUUUUUCCUGCAUGAUUCAAGUAUUUCAGUUUUAUCCUAACUUACUCGUAUCCCCUGCAGAUGUUGUUGUUCCCCAGUUGAGUCUUUCCAUUUUGUAUGGAAUUCCUCGAGUCCCCCAGUAGUUUUAAGUAGUAGCCUGGCCUACACAUAACCUCAUUUAUUCCCCCUAGAGGCUCUAUCUCCCUAGUGAGUUUUCCUUACGGAAUACAUUAUACUCCUGCGGACUUUCGGUCUCUCUAAUUUCUUUUCCUUUGUAGCAAUAUUUCCCCAUAAAGAAUUUACUUUUGCAUUCAUAUCAUAUGCAUCAUGAGGUCUCUUAGGGACCAAAAUUUGUUUCUAUAUGUUGUUAUUUAAGCCCAUUCUACUGAGUCGACAUGAAGAUUUUAACCUUCGCCUCCUCAUCAUGAGGUCUCUUAGGGACCAAAAUUUGUUUCUAUAUGUUGUUAUUUAAGCCCAUUCUACUGAGUCGACAUGAAGAUUUUAACCUUCGCCUCCUCAAUUAGAAUGUCCUUAAAUAGGGGCAGCUGUAAGACCCCGAUUUUGACCCUAAGAUCCCUCAUGCAAUUUCAUCAUAAGCAUUAGCAUUAGGAUCAUAUCUUGGCAUCCUCCUUGCCCCUCUUUCAUUGGGUUUAUUUUGGGAGAUAUCACCAAGCACUAUGUGAUUGUAUCACACUUGUAUAUCAUCAUUUACUAACCAAAAUACAAAAAUAUGCCUUUGCAUUUACCUAACUCUUUUGUAGGUAGGGCAUGAUCUCCAUUGAUCUAUCAAGUUCAUAUGUAGGGUUUGAGACCCUCAUGACAAAGAGCACAACCAUGAAUUGAUCCAAGAAUGGUUAUGAGCAUCAUAUAUGAGUUCCAUGGAUUACUACAUGUUAUAUUGAUCAAAUUUUCUUCAAGAGUUUGAGGGUGAUUUGCCUUGGAAACCCUGGUUUGACUGGGUAUCUUGAGUAACUUCUCCAACAAGCUAUCUUACCAAUUGAUCAAAUUUCUUAAGGGACACUUCAAAAUUCAUCAUCUUAUGCAUAUAUGAUCUACCAUGAGCCAAGAAAGUCAAAAUAAUUGAAGGUUAGCAAGUUGGUUGAUGGUGGUUGGCCAGAUGAAUUCAUCUGAUCAAAACUUCAAGAAAGUCAAAAUAAUUGAAGGUUAGCAAGUUGGUUGAUGGUGGUUGGCCAGAUGAAUUCAUCUGAUCAAAACUGGGUCUCCCUAGACCCUAUCUCCUACAAUUUUCACCAUAUGAAAAUGAUUCUAAGCGCAAAGUUACUCUAAACGACAUUCAAAACAACUUUCAUGUUGAGACCUAGAUCUAGUUUUACUUGGAAAAUCAUUUUCGAUGUUAAAACAUUAUAGGUCAUUUUGUCUAAACCCUAAUUUGAAAGUCAACUUCCCAAGACCAUAACUUGCUCAAUUUUUAUGAGAUGAAAUAUUUAAAAGUUGCACAAUCAAAUUCAAGAUGUCUAAUUCAGCUUUGAUGUUUGGAGUGAGAGCUAAUUCAACUUUUAUGAUCAUGUGAUAUGAGGUUACAUUAUAGGUCAUUUUUGACCUAUACCUUUGAACAAGUGAUUCUUCCAAACUUCAAAAAUACAUAACUCUAUCAUUCCAAAUCCAAAUAACAUGAAAUUAGUAAUAAUUUUGAAUGUCUUUGAAAUAUCUACAACUUUGAUGAAGACACAUUUCUCAUUUGAAGCUCACAUAAAACGUUAAGCAAGGUGGAAUAUUGAGAUAUAUGGCUUGACACUUAGAAAAAAUUUCAACAUGUUGAAAUUUCCAAACUUCCACCUCAAAAUUCUCCAUGUUCCAAGCUCCAAGUGAAAAAGUGUUGAACAUAAAACUUGUUCCCCUUGAUCUAAUCUUUCCAAAGAACCCAAGUUCAUGCAUUUUGGAUGAGGUUUGCUAGGUUUGCGCAUGGCUUUAACAGGGUUGCAUAAUUGGAAAGAAUCAAACUUCAAAACUUCAAUUCACUUUGCCUUGUCAAUUAAUCUUCCAUUCAGACUUCAUUUAGAAUGAUUUUGGACCUUUUUGCAUUGCAUCAUGGUCCUGCACAUGCCCAUGCACUCGUUCCAUCAACAUUGCUAAAAUUGGACAAAAUUUGAAGUGUGCAAAUAUCAUUCAUUCAUGCUAUAAAUACAUGCUCUCUAUGCUCAUUUGAAUCACACCUUGCGCGCCAGCUUUGCCCCCCAUUGAAACCUUCUCAUUCCAAAGGAAAACUUGAUAAAUUUCAACUUGAAAUUUGAGUUUGAAUCUCAAGUGUUGGAGAUUCAGAAAAUUCCAGGAUCCAAAGCCUUGCAACCUCUCUAAUCACUUCCUACUAGCUUCUCAAGUGUGAUCAGAUCGUGUUUGGAGAAAGCAACAUCAAGAAUUGCAUAUCAUUGAAGGUAAUUUUCAGAAAACUUCAUCUCUUCUAUUCUCUCUCAAUUCUACUCAAUUCUCUUGGAUCUUUGGUUGUCUGAAGUCCUACCAAUGUAGGCAAGAAAAUUGAGUUGCUUAGAGGUCAAAUCGAAGCAACUCAGUUGACACACCUCAAAAUUCAACUCCUCAUAUCUUUCUACCAAUGUAGGCAAGAAAAUUGAGUUGCUUAGAGGUCAAAUCGAAGCAACUCAGUUGACACACCUCAAAAUUCAACUCCUCAUAUCUUUCUAUAUAUGUGGAGUUAGUUAAAAUUGAGGUCAGAUUCAUGCUCUAUGCUAUUUUUUCUUUCAAAUCAUGUCCUCCUUUUUUAUUUUAGUGAUGGUUGAGAGUGGACCAGUCCGGUGAGGUCCACCAGAGAAGAAGACCGGAGCUACAGCUCCGGUCGUGCGUUGGCACGUCUCCCAGCCACAUGAUCUUGCCAUUUUGUUUUAAUCUGAGGCGUUGGUUUUGAUUACCACGCGUAUGGCACGCUGACUACGUUCCAUCAUGGAACGCGCGUUGUAGUCCACUUGAUCUACCACCUCAAUUAAUGAGGGAGAUCAAGUGGCUCACGUUUUUUCAUAUUUUCUGAUUUUGUUUUAUUCCUUUUAUUUUCAUUAAUUCGUAUUAAUUUUAAUAUUGAUCCAAAAAAUAUGAGAGUUUCACCAAAAGUUUUCAAAUAAUUUCCUCUUUCAUAUUCUGAAUUAAAAUCAUUUUUUGGAUCAUUAUUAAUAUUUUUUAUGAUUUAAUUGUUUUUGUGAUUAUUUUUAAUUGAUUAAAAAUACUUUCAAGUCAUUAAAAAUUAUGAAUUUUUUUAUCCAAGGUCCUUUGACCUUGUUUGACCUAUGAUAAAUCUCAUGGCCAUUUAUUUGGUGUUUUGAUGAGGUUUUAGGAAUUUGACAAACCAUAUUUAAUUUAAAUGCCUUAUUUUAGUAUUUUUAAUUUUAAUAAAUGCCAAAUAAUUUGUUUAUCAUUGUAAUGACUUGUUUGAGUUUGACUCUUGUUGUUGGCCUUGGUCAAGGUUGAUUUGACUUUGUCAAUAUCAUUGGAUUUAGGGGAUUGAUGGAAUGUACAUUCCAUCUCCCAAAAUGAAUGAAUGAUAUUAAUUUGGUAAAAGUCCUCCUUUGACCAAUUUUAGUUUUGAUACAUUCCCCUCCCUCUUCAUCUCAUUCCCCUUCUUGAUGCAUCCAUCUCAUUUGGCCUAUGAUAUCUCAAAGUCCUAAGGCUAGUUGAUUGAAAAAUCAACAUAAGUAUGGAUGAGAUUAGGCCACCUCUUUUGCAUAUCCUCUGUGUGUGGUAUGUUUCAUGAGCAUAGUCCAUUAUACUAUGUCUCAAACAUGCAUUAACACCGAAGUUCUAUUGUCCGGCCUCAAAUAGUUGUGACUUCUACAUAAGUCCAAUUACGAUUGCUUAACAUAGCGCUAAAUUUGUGACACAAAAGGCAUAGCAUUCUAGUUAGUGAGAUUGUAAGUCUCUCCUCUUUCAUGGUAUUGUGUAGAAACUUGGUCUUUUUUCCUUCCUUUGGAAGAUUUCUUGGCUCAAGGAUCCAUGCUUGUGAUAAGUGGGUUGAGUGUUCUCCAAAGAAUGUCUUAAAAUGAAAAGCAAAACAAUACUAACUUCUAACUCAUUAACAACUAACUUUUAAUUUCAAGCCAUUUACUUUAAUGUCAUUUAAUUUUAGUCUUUAUUCAUUUGCCAUUAUUCAUACCAUUCUAAUUGUUUUUUUAAUGUCAUUUAAUUUUAGUCUUUAUUCAUUUGCCAUUAUUCAUACCAUUCUAAUUGUUUAUGUUAAUGCAAUUUUUACUUUGUCCAUUUGGACCAUAUUGUGUGAUAUAUCUUGUUUGUGUAUAUUUUGCUUGUUUGUGUGGACUUUGACCAUUAAUGUACAUAAUAACAACAAAAACCCUAAAAAAACUUUUGUGUUGACUGUUGGUUUGAUCUUAGACAAAUGGACUUAGAACUUAGGCAAUAUUCCUAUGUUAAAGGACUUGGCCAAUGCCAACUUUCUGUGAAACCAAGUGCUUGAUACAUCAUUCAAGAUCUCUCUGAGUUCAUCUGCAACAUGAUCAUUGUGAAGCUGUUAUUUUGAACAUGUGACUUGUGGAAUUCAUCUAUUUCAUGGGCUAAUUUGAAGGAGCAUGAAGUGGCUAAAGCUUGGAUGUGGCUAUCUUUAUUUGAUGCAUUUGCUCUUCAAGAUAAUAUAAUUGUGCAUUUAUGUUUUGCUUGAUUCUAAAUGUCCAAGGGAAUUCUGGGUUUCUAUUGACAUUCUUGUCUAUUGGAUUGCUACCCAUUGGUCAGAUCUUUUCAACUCUUAACUUUUAAUUUUGUGUAUAGGAUUAGUCCCUUCAUCUUCUCCUCAUUUCUUUAAUUUCAAAAUCUCUCCCUCCCUUUUCAAAAUCUUCUUUGAUUGAACUUAUUUUGUCAUAAACUUUGACCACUUUGCAAAAAGAUAGAAACUUUGGCCUUAUGUCAUUGCAUUUUCAAAUUUCUUUUCUUAAAUCAAAUUUGUAAAUAAACUUAACUAUACUUGACUUAAACUUUCAGAAAAGCCAAAAAGAACUAACUCAUUCAAACCAUUUUAGGUCUUUGUGUCUUUCAAACUUAAUUUUUGUUAAAAGCAAUGCAUCCACUUUGAAAUUUGUAUCACGAACUAGGAGGUUUUGAUCCCUCAUUUUUAUGUUGGUACGUAGGCACAAGUCCGAAGGGCUUGUCAAACACAAAAAUAUAAUUGAUGAAUUCUUUUCUCAUCCCCCCAUUUUAUUUGUUUGUAAACAUCAUUUUCGUACCAAAUACAUAUGCACACAAAAAGGGCUCCCUAUGAGUACCUAGGACACUUUGGGUGUUAACACCUCCCAUCUGUGUAACCAACCCCCUUACCUGUAAUCUAUGACAUUUUAUUAAUUUUGAUUUGAAAACUUCUUACUUUGGGUUUUGUUCGUACUUUCCCCCUUUUUCCUUGGAAACAAUAAAAGCGCGGUGGCGACUCUUGUUAUUUGAUGUCUAGCUUAUCCAUAGCUUGAUGAUCAUGAAUUUACCGCUACUCAUACGUCGAGCACGAUGCUGAGACAUGUGGUCCAAUAUUUUAAACUCAGGCUUCUUCCUAGGAAUAACUUAGGCCUUUUUCUUUAUGACAAUGUAGUAAAAUCCUACAACCUUCAAAUUUCCUUUCAAGAUAUCAUCAACAACAUCUGAAUUUUUGUUUACCUGGUGAACAUAUUAAGGUAUUUUUUCGGCUUUGGUCUUUAACAGUGUACCCUCUUCUUCCAAUUCAUAGAUGGUUGAACUAAGAUUCUCAUUUUCUUGGAGAAGAGUACUUAUAAUCUUCUUAUGUUUCUUUUCUUUUAAGGAGGAAGCAUUCCAUUCAAUAAUUAAUUCUCAUAAGGAUUUAGUAAGAUCUUAUAUAGUCAUAACUUCUUCAUUAUACUCAAUAUUAGAGUCAUAUUUUCCAGUGAAAGCCUUCAUCUUGUUUGAUCCUUCUCAUUUUAUUUCAUCAUUUGAUUUUGACCAAGCGACAGACAACCCCUUCUUUUGAUUCUUCAGAAAGGUAGGACAUUCUUCUCUAAAGUGUCCAUAACCUUCAACUUCUUUAAUUAGUCCCUAGUUAUGGUGUGUGAUAAAAGGUCACAAUGUAUGUGUUAUAAAAAGAUAUGCCAUAAACUAAUGAAAUUUAGUAUUCUCUAUUGAGAUUCUUAAAUUAAUUCCACAUACAUACUUAUGCCUCAUGUUUCUCAACUCACCUCAAUAUAAACAAGAGAUGGCGGUGACACUCCAUUCAGAAACUGCAUUGCAAGUUGAGAUAUACUCGUCUUCAAAAUAAUACUCCAUUCAGAAAUUGUAUUGCAAGUUUAGAUAUACUCGUAUUCAAAAGAAGACGUGGCCACCAAUGCUUACUUCUUGCAGCACUGUGAAAUUAAACAAUUGAACAACUUAAACACAUAUUUCAUUGUAUUUAUUCUUUCUAAUUUAUAUUUAUACCAAUCUGAGUCACAGAAACCCAACAGUUUAUCCAUAGGGCGAUCAAGUUUGGAAAAUAAGAUAUCAUGAUCUAAUGUAUCCUUAAGACAUCUAAUGAUCCUCUUGACUACUUUCAUAUAUGACAAUUUAGGGUCUUGCAUAACUUUACUCACCAUAUAUGCAUUGUGGCAUAUUGUAAACAUCCCAUCAUUUGUUUGUAUAGAGUGUUAUCAACAACCUUUACACUUCCAUCUUUACUUAAUUUAGAAUUUAUUUUCAUAUGAUUACUUGUUGAGUUGCAGUUCAACAUAUUAAAUAUCUUCAAGAUAUCACUGGCGUACUUCCUCAGUUGAUUUACCAAGCGUUUCAUGGUUGAAACAAAUUCAAGUCCCAAAAGUAACUUAAUCAUACGUCAGCCAUAUAAACUUCAAUGCCCAUGUUGAAUUUGAGAUUCCCAAUCUCAUUGCCACUAUUUCCUGUGAUGAGUAAUUCAUCCACAAAUAAGCACACAAUUAUAAGAUUGUCUUGAUUCAUUACCUUCACAUAGAUUUCAUGUUCAAUUAUACAUUUGGAAUAACUAAUAUAGUUUAGGAACUAAUCAAUCCUCUUGUUCCAGACUCUUCGAGCUUGUUUCAGUUUGUAAAGAACCUUAUUAAGCUUUGAGACAUUAUCUUAUUCCUCUUUCACAAUAAAUCUUGCGGUUUUCGAACAUUAACUACCUCCUUAAAGAAGACAUUUCAAAAUGCAAAGUUGACAUUUAGUUGAACAAAAUUACAUUCUUUGAAGUUAGUCAGAGCUUUCAUUAAUCUAGUUCUCUCAAUUCUUGCAACUAUGGCAAAAAUUUAUAUGAAAGCAAAGCCAUACUUUUGUAAGAAUCUUACUGCAACAAGUAUUGUCAUAUGUUUGGAAAUGGGUCAAGGCCAUACUUUUGUAAAAAAUUCUAUGAAACAUUUUAUGUGUCAGAAAGGAGACUAGAUUCCAUGAUUGAUUAUUAUCUUUCAUACAUAGUAGUAAUCCCCACAUAUAAUGUAAUUAUGAUGUAAUUAUUUCUACAUAGUUGAAAAUUUCAACGUCGACAAAUAAGGCUAAAUGCACUAGGUCUUUCUCUAGUGUGCUCAUCUGGUCUAGAAUGACAUCAUAUUCAUGGAGAAUUUUAGUUGAGAAUCUAAUCCUCUAGAAUCAUCUUGCUUACUCUAUUUGUGUAACACCUCUUUUAGGUACAAAAGGCCCACUUUAGUCAUUAUGGAAUACAUAUGACACAUUUGAAGACGAGGUAACAUCUAGACUCUUCUAAUUCCAACAAUCCUCAUCACCAAUUGUAACAUAUGUGCUCGCAACAAUCCUUUAGGUCAUUAAAUUGAAUAACUUGUAUGAACCUACAAUAUCUAGCCUAAAAAAAUCAUUGAUUCACUCUUAUAUUCAAAUCAAACUUCUUCCUUCUUUGGCCUGGGAUGUAUUUAAAACAUAAAUACACAAAGAUCCCCAACUGCUUGACAAAUGGAGGCGACAUGACCACAUUUACACUGAGACCAUGUCUAUUCUCUUGGUUGGACUUUUGUUGAGCACAUAACAUGUAAAGUAUGACCGCUUCGCCCCAAAAAAUAUGUUGAAAGUUUAUUUUCUUUUAGCAUGAUUUGGUCAUGUUUACGAUGGUUUUGUUCCUUGUCUUAGAAAGACCAUUAUAUUUAGGGGUGUAUGGUGUUUCGAUCUCGUGUUGAAUUCUCAUAUCUUCAUAAAAAGGUUCAAAUUCUCUUGAAGUGUAUUCACCACCUCCAUCACUCCAGAGAACUUUGAGUUGUCUUUAUGUGUGUUUUUCUUACAUCAUUUUAAACAUUUUGAAAACAUGGAGUACUUUAUCUUUUUUUUAGUUAAAUAAACUCACAUCAUUCUACUGAGUUCACCCACAAAAAAACAAAGUAUUUAUUCCAUCUAGUAACAUUGUCUCAAAGAGAUAACAAAUAUCAAUAUGUACCACAUUAAGUUUACUGUGAGCUCUCUUAGGAAUUUUCCACACAAAUUAUUUCUUUGGUUAAUUUCCUACCAAGUAGUUAUUGUACACAUCUAUAGGCAUUUUGAUUAUAGGAAAACAUUGUGCCAUUUCCUGUUACUUUCAUGUGCAAAGACUCUUAAAAUUAAGGUCUCCAUACAUGAGGUGCCAUAGGUAACCAUUGUCAUUGAGCAUCUCAGUAGCAAGGCAAGAAGAAUUUGUUGCAUUUAUAAUGGACUUAAAAUUUUCUAUUGAGAGAGAGAGAGAUACUUUCAACAUAGUUUUCUUAUGUGCAACAAAGACUAGUAACGAAUUCACCUUGGCAUCUGGUUGCCGACAAGGUGCAUGUUAAACCCAUUAUCUCGUAUUUCACCUAUACUCAAUAAGUUACUCUUGAUGCUUGAAACAUACAACAAACCAGUAAUGAAUUCUUGUUUUCCUUGCAUGUCUUUGAUCAAAAUUCAUCAUCUCCCUUUGAUGGAAUGAUUAUGUUAUCAAUAAAUCUUAUAUUUGCCUUUCUUUAAUUAUAUAAUUGAAUAGUCAUUCUCGGUGACUUGUCAUAUGAUUUGAACAUCUUGUGUCCAAAUACCACUCAUUUAUGUUUUCAAGUUCAUCAUUUUAUUUCCACCAAGAGGAUAUGGUUUAAGUCAAAGUUGUAAGUGUAAUAUGCUCUUAAGUGAAUUUUGAAUGAUGUCAAAACUAGGUAGCGUAGAUCUUUGUGUAUUUGGACCUUACAAUCUUUGUCAAAAUAUGCAUCAUCAUCAUAGAACAUGUAAGAUUAGAUUAAAUAAUCCAUCACAUGCCAAAAUAUAAGUUUUUCAUAAAAAAAUCAUGCAUGGGCCGAUACAUCUUCAAUAUGGGUCGAUACACUGAGUGGAAUUUCAAAGAAUUUAGAUCUGCCUUGAAUGGGUCGAUACAAGAGAGUAAUGGGUCGAUACAUUCUGUGAAUCAGUCGACUCAUUCUUGGUUGGGUCGACUCAAUCUGAAAGAUGUUUUCAGGAUUUUCACUGCCUCUAACGGGUCGAUACAAAGGUGAAAUGGGUUGAUACAUUAAGUGAAUGGGUCGACUCUCCCGUGUUUGGAGUCGACUCAUUCUGAAACGUUUUUCUCUCAAAUUUUCUACUUCUUUCAAUGUGUUGACUCUAUUUGGUAUCGUAUUGACUCACUCAACUUAUGUAUUGACUCAUUCAAGUUUAGAGUCAAUACAUUCUGAACUAAAUUUCAAAAAUUGCAUUUUGGAUAAAAAUAUGUUUUUACUCAUUUCUUUUCUACACAUACACAUACAUAUAAAUAUGCAUUCAUGCAUCUUUUCUCAGCAUUGAAACUUGAAAGAUACAAAGAAUUCUCAUCAUCUUCAACCUAUCUUGACGCAUUCAUUAACUGCACAUAAUCAUUUUUUAUUGUUUGUUGACAAGAAUAGAUUGAUAAGGUCCAAUUUAGGUUUGUGUAAGCAAAUUGGGUUGAGGUUUUCUUUGGGGAUUCAAGGAUAAAAUCUUUAGGGAUUUUACUCCAAGAUCAAGGGUUGAUUUGGAGGUUUUUGCACAAGUCUUGUCAACUUGGAUUCAGCCAAGCGAAGGCUUUGAAGAACGGGGGUUCUUGCAAAGGAGUAACGGUAACCGGAUGAUCAAUUGAAAGGCUUGGGGCAAGAUUUUGCAAUUUGGAUUCAGUCGAGCGAAGGCUUUGAAGAACAGGGGUCUUGCAAAGGAGUAGUGGUAACCGGAUGAUCAUAUUAGAGAUCUCGUGUGACUUGAUCUUGCUAGGAUCAAGGGUAGAGAAGGAGCUAGGAUCAACAUCAAAUAUAUGGUUUGGGGUUUGAAUUUCUACACUUCUAUUGUACACUGGUAUUGCAAAGGUUAAUUAUAAUAUCUCAAUUCAAUUUCAAAUUGAGGGCAGAUGUACCCAAAGUGAGUAUAAUUGGGAAAUUUCCUAAACAAAUCUUGGCGUUCUCUCUCUCUCUUUCUCUCUUCCUCUCUCUCAAAUUUCUUUUUAAAUUUUGAUCACACUUAGUAUGUAAUUUGAAUUGUUGAAAAUUCUGGUUGUAUUGAAGUGCUUAAAACUAUUUGUGUAAAACCAUUGCAAUCUAAACCAUUAUAAUUGAUUUGUUAUAACUUAACACAGAGAGAAUCAAACUUGAUGUAUUGCACACCAAGUGUUCGAUAAAAUUAUUGCACACCAAGUAUUCGUCAAAAUUUCUUUGUCAACUUUAUUUUUACUUCUCAUUGAAAAUCACUUAUCUUAAGUGUGGUUUAUAUUCAAACAAACUAUAUUGAACUUGUUGAAUGAAUUUUCUCAUCUUUAGCAUACUUAUAUUACAGUUUAUACACAUAUCCAAUCAUACCAAUAACAAUUCAGAUAGACGAGAGUCGAUCCAAAUUCGUUUCCGCUUGCCAUAGAAAAAUAUUUUUCAAAAUAAAUUUUUAUUUGGGGAUCUAUUCAACCCCCUCCCCCCUAGGUCGUUGCCCUCGUCUAACAAAAGUUACUUUUAACCUAGGGCAUGUGUGUCUUAAUCUCUACAUUGUCUUUGACUCUGGAAACAUGUUUUCUCUUGCACUCAUCUACAAAGUGUCCAAAGUUUUGGCAAUUAUAACACUAAAUAUUUUUCUUGCUCGGUGGUUUAUUUCUCUUCUUAUCUUGAUGAACAUUAUUGUUUCCUGAAGAUGAUUUAGAUUGAUCGUCUUUCUUAGAGAUAUCUUUAUGAAAUUCAACUUUCUUAAAUUUGUCAUUUCCCUCCCACUUUGAAACACCGCCUUACCGAGACGUAUGAGCCUAAAAAGCUAACUCACUCUCUCUUUCUUUGGUUCUUUUAAGCACCAUUUCUUCAUACCUUUCUAAGGAACGCUUCAAUUCCUUAACAUUCACGAGGAACAAUGCAAUUCCUCAACCUUCAUGGUUCUUCAAACGCCACGGUAAUGUAAUAAAAUCUUGAGGGGGAUGCAUCAGGUUGUUCACGAUGGUUUGAUCAUAACCAACUUCCCACACAUUUUCAUCUGAUCGGUAACACGUGUGAUUCUAUUGGAAUACUAAUAACCUUCUUAUUGUUCUGAAUCUCCAAGAAAUCAAAUUGUCUUCUCAAUGUUUGCAAACUCUUGAAUUAGUCAUCCCUAACACAACCUUUCUCAAGAAUGUCUCACAUCUCAUUCAAUGAAACUGCAUUUUUAAUCUUUUAGAAAUUCAUCGUACGUGUGUGUACAUUGAUGGAUGAAGAACCGCGUCUUAAAGUCUUUUUUCUUCUAUGUGUAUAUAGUUCUAACAAAUGGUAUAUAGAAUCUGAAGCUCUUCGAAUUUCAAAAGUGUUCAAGAUUUAAUAUCCAUGGUACCCCCAGAUAAAAGAGAAAAAGAAAACAAAAUUGAAAUUAUAUAUAUUGCACUUCACAUCCAUUUGUUCUGUCUUAUUACUAGAUUUAACAAUUUAACCGACUUAACUAAUUAGUUUUUUUUAUAUAUAACAAAUAAUUUAAUCACUUACACUCGAAUUAUAUUCCAACAAUUUUUUUUGUCAAAGUCAAUCAUAUCUAUAACAUUCAUACUUUAAAAAUUUACAUAAAAAUUUAACUGAGUAGAAUUUUAAAGGACAAAUAGUGAGUUUUUAAUAGACACAUUCUUUUAUUCAAAAUCUAUCGAAUCAAAUCACGCAAGAGCGAAAAAUCAAAUCUACGGAAUUUCACAUAUUCAACUUCCAGAAGUAAAAUACCAACCACUAAUAAAAAAAACAGUGUCUUUAUAUUUUAUAUACAAAAUGAUGAUAUUAGUAUUAAAUAAUAUUUUAACUGAGGUAUCUAAUUUUUUUUUUGCCUGCGCUAAUAUUUGUGAUUACAACCCUAAAAAUUGUUUUACUAAAAAAAAUUUAAAAAGAAAAAGAAAGAGAGAGGCUUCCCUGAGCUGUUGGAUACCGGAGGCAGAGUGUGUCAUUGUGAUCACCACCGGGUAACACCACUAAACGACACCGUAUCCAUCUUCUUCUCAUUCGUCACAAACCCCGCCAUGCUCGACUUAAGAAAACUCAGAUUAACAUUCACAUUUUUCAAUCUUAAACCCUCCCUAAACCCUAGAUUUCACAGCACAACAAAAACAUCACUUCAAUUACAACCAAAACCAAAACUUCCCUCAAAAUCCACUGUCAAAGAAGCCCAAGCCGCAUUACUAGACUAUCUUCAUUCCACAAGAAGCUUGCAGUUUCUAGACGCGGACAACAUGUGCAAAAACUCGCCUUUUUUCAUUCAAACCCUUGUUGAAAAAACCCUAAAAAACGAGAAGCUUGUAAACCCUAAGCGGUUGAUUUCUCGCUACUUGCGUUACCAUCCAAUCAAUGAAUUCGAACCCUUUUUCGAGAGUUUGGGUUUGAAGCCUUCAGAAUAUGCACCUCUUCUUCCUCGUGACUUGAUUUUUCUUAAUGAUGAUCCUCUUAUGAUGGAGAAUUAUCAUACUCUUUGUAACUAUGGGGUUCCAAGGUCCAAAAUAGGGAAGAUUUUCAAACAAGCGACGGAAGUUUUUAGAUUUGAAAAUGGGGUUUUGAAUUUGAAGAUUAAGGCUUAUGAGAAGUUGGGUGUUUCGUCUUCGGUUUUAGUGAAUGCUGUUGCUGUUAGUCCUGGACUUUUGGUGGGUGAUGUUAAUGUUGAUUUUGUGGAGGUUGUGGAUAUGUUGAAGGAUAUUGUUGCAAAGGGUGGUGAUGGUGGUGAUGUUGAUAGUGGUUGGAUUAAGUGGGGUUUUUUGGAUGAGGUUUCUUGCAAUUGGGGCUUGAUGCUUGAGCUCUUGUGCUUGCUUUCGGAUGCUGGUUUCAGUAAGGAACAGUUGGCGGAGAUUAUUCGUCGUAGUCCUUGCAUUGUUUUUGAGGAUUCUGGAGGUAGGACGCUCUCUAUGAUUGGCUUUUUGACUAAAUUUGGAUUGUCUGUGAACCAGAUUGCCCUUGUGUUUCUCGAGUUUCCGCAGAUUCGGAUGGUCAAGUUUUUAGCCAACUUGAGAGUGUGUCUUCAGCUUCUGACUGAAAUUGAGAUGGAAGCUGUGGAGAUUGGAAAGAUUUUCCAGUCUCACACGUUAUUCAUUGGUUCCUAUACUCUCAAGACAACAAAGAGUUUGCUUGGUUGCUUGAAUGUCGGCAAGAAGCGGCUCUGUGCCAUAGUGCAGGAAAAUCCUCAUGAAAUGAAGAAUUGGAUUCUGGGAAGGAGAGUUAAGCCUUUGGUUAGCUUAAGGGAGGAGGAAGAGGAAAAAUCAAAAGCGGGGAAGACAGAGUUCUUGCUGCGUUUAGGAUAUGUGGAAAAUUCGAAACAAAUGAAUACGGCAUUUAAGGUGUUCAGAGGUAAGGGAGCUGAACUUCAGGAGAGAUUUGAUUUUAUUGUUAAUGCUGGCUUGACACGUGACGAUGUUUGUAGAAUGAUUAGAGUCUCCCCGCAGAUUCUUAAUCAGACCACAGAUAGGGUCAAGAUGAAAAUUGAGUAUCUUAUAAAGAAAGGAUAUUCUGUAUCGGAUUUAGUGAGUUUUCCAUCUUAUCUUUCAUAUAAAUCUCUAAGAGUUAAACAUAGGUUGUCAAUGUAUAACUGGCUCAUAGACAAUGGGGCCGUAGAGCCCGGGCUUGCUCUGAGCACCAUAGUUGCAUGCACAGACAGAAUAUUCUUACAAAGUUAUGUAAAUCGCCAUCCCUCUGGCCUUCAAGUUUGGGAAGAGUUGCAAAAAGAAAUUCAUUGUGAAGAUUAAUGAAUAAUCAGAUACUAGCAUGCUUAACGAUUGUUUAUUCUUGCAAAUGUUUUUACCAAUUGAACUGCAAUUGGUAUUCUGAAACAAGAGUUCUGUGGCCGUGAAUUGGGUUGUGAUGUCAAAGUUUUUUUGUGUCUUGGUCACCACAACGUGACUGCAAUUGACCGCAAUUCUCUCCAAUAACAAAAAUUGCAAAGCCGUCACAAUUUAAAACCAUCUAGCCAGCCACCAUCAUGCUGUUAUGAAACCUACAGGGAUAACUAAAGAGCAGCAGCUUUCAUGAGCAAGCAUCAUAGGUGAUUGCCGAUUGCAAAUGUUUCUGACAUGACCUGUAGAUGGGAGACUUAAGACGAAUGUUGACUUAAUACGCCAUAUUCACUGUAUGUAGGUGUUCACUUGCUCAUUUACAUUGAAAACUACUACCCAAAUGGUUUUGAUUUCGUCGCUAAAACUGUUCCUCAUAUAUGAAAAUUACAGCUGAAAUUUGCAAUUUCUUGAACUCACAAUUGGAGAAUACAAACAGUUGAGAUUUGCACACAUAGAAUCUGGAUCCAGCAUGCAUGUACAUGUCUGCAAUUUGGCAUGAUUGUAUUAUGUGCCACUGAAGCCAUUUGAACAGAGAUUUAUAUCAUCUGUCACUUGAUUUUUUUGGACAAAUUUAAUGUUUAUAUUAGUUGAAGUCAAGAUUGUUGUACUUUCAAAAUGUUGCAGAGAACUCGAUACUUCAUCUAGUAGAAUGUUCAAUCUUCUCUGUACUGGUGAUAUAUCCACUGAUCCACUAUUAUUAUUACUGCAAUAAACUGAUUUAAACCAUGUAUAUUCGCCAUCGAACUUAAGCACGAUUGACUAAUUUUGUGAUGAUUAUUGUGUUUUUAUGCAAUUAUCUUCUUACUUUACUACUUGAUUUUUCAUUCUAUUUUAUCAAGGCAUUUGUCAGAAAAUUUGUGGCAUUGAGCUAGCUAUUACUGGUUUAUGAUUCCUCCUCCAUAAUGUUAGUUGUAAUUGUUGCCUUUCUUGUUGGGGGCAAAAGUUGAGUAUUCAAAUGCAAACUUUAUUAUUUUGGAAUCAUCAAAUACAAACUUUAAAGCAACGAAUUUAAUUGUAACUAACUACAAUUCAUUCACUUUAAAAUUGUAGAUGUAGAUUAGGUGGGUAGCUUCAAUAGCCUAUUGAAUUUGUAAUUUCAAAUCUGUCAAACUUUUCUAAACAAACAUAGUAAAGUCUAAUACAGUAUGAAUUGGCUUUUGAUUAGAUGAUUAAAUAUUUGACUCUACUUGGAACUUGUUAAAUUGACAUCAUUAUAACCAGACAAUGGCUUUUUGGUGGGUCCAAUUGUUAAGCUAUGUUUAUCAUUUUGGAUUUUAUAUUAAGUGGAGGUUAGGGAACUAUUUAAUACUCCUAUUUUGUAGUUUUUAUAAUCUUUUAUUAGAGAUCCCAAAUUUUAUUGAAGAUUUGGUUUGUUAUGAACAAGAGCAUGCUUAACCUUGUGUUGUUGUUGUUUCUAAUGGGAUAGUACAAGAUUAAAGUUGAUGUAGGUUGCUUCCUUUAAGGAAUUAUUGGUUGGGAUGUGAUUGUUUAUGAUAACUAUAAUUCAAUAACAUGGUUGGGGUAUAUCCUUUAGAUUUCCUUUAAUAUAAGCUCUUUUAAUUUCAUGGAAAACACCACUAGUUUUAGUUAAUAAAAAUCUAUCAUUGGAAAUUUUAGUUAUAUUAAACUCAAUAAAUAGCCUUUCAUUUUUGAGAUUGACUCUGCUGUGUUGGAAACAAAUGACAUUUUGAGAUAAGACCAAAUUUCAAACUUCUUUUUAAAACAAAAUGGAUGGAAGGACUUCCCGCCUAAAGAUAAUUGUAUUUUUUUUAAAAAUCUAUUCAAAAAAAAUUUAACAGCAGGUAAGAGUUAGAUUUGACAAGUUAGAAGACAUUUUUUAUCAUCUCAUUUAAAUUUCUCUUUGAUCAAAAUAAUUAUAUAUUAUUUAAAUACAUCUUUAGUUCUCCUAUUUUAAUAUUUUUUUAAUUUAUAGUCUUCAUUUCAAAACUCAAUUUUUGGUACCUCAACUUUAAAUCUCUAUUGAUUUUGUUUGUCCCCUCACUUUUGCAUACGUGGCGAUAAUGACUAAUAUAUGAUUUUUAUUUUUAUUUUUUAGUUAAGUUAGAAGACAUUCUUUAUCAUCUCAUUCAAACGGCUCUUUGGUCAAAAUAAUUAUAUAUUGGUUUAGAUGCACUUUGGAUCACUCUAUUUUGAUAUUUUUUAACUUUUAAUCCUCAUUUCAAAACUCAAUUUUUUGGUCCCUCAAUUCAACUUUACAUCUCUUACGAUUUUAUUGGUCCCCUUCUACUUUUAAUCUCUCUAUUUUGAUGUUUUUUAACUUUUAAUCCUCAUUUCAAAACUCAACUUUUUGAUUCCUCAAUUCAACUUUAUAUAAGUUGGAAUUUUGUUGAGCAAAUCAUUUUAGCAUUUAAAAAUAAUAAUAGCACUAAAUGUUAGUCACAAGAUCUAUUGGCAUUUUUUUUUGCAAAAUAAUGACAUUAAAUAUUUAACACAAGGCUAGAACCCUUGAUCUAGAGUUGUCCAAAAAAGUUAUUCGAUUCUAAACGGGUUGGCCCUGACAUACAUUGAGUUUUUUAGGAUCGGGUCCAAUAAAUCCAGAAAAAUUUUACCUUGUACCCCUACAGUUAGCCUCAUACCCCUACAAAAUUUUAAAAAUUCUCAUUCUACCCUUAAUUGGUUUUAACCAAUUUACCAUUUCAUUUUUACCAUUCAGUUGAAAAUUUCAGAAUUACACUUCACACCCUUGUCAACCGGAAUCCUGCAAAAAGACUUCCGGUAUGUAUUUUCCCAAACCGAAGACUUCAAGAAUGACUUCCGAACACACAAACAAUGACACGGAAGACUUCAUGAAAGAGUUCCGGUUCAAUCAGAAAAAAUUUACAAAACCAGAAACACUUCUUGAAAGAGUUCGGUGAACAAAUUUAUACAUACCGGAACUCUUUGGAGAAGUGUUCCGGUUGUAUUAUAUGUGUUCCGAACUCUUUCAUGGAGUGUUCCGGUUUCGCUUUUUUUUUAAAUUUUUUUUUAAUUUUUUUAUUUAUUUAUUUUGCAGAAUGGNNNNNNNNNNNNNNNNNNNNNNNNNNNNNNNNNNNNNNNNNNNNNNNNNNNNNNNNNNNNNNNNNNNNNNNNNNNNNNNNNNNNNNNNNNNNNNNNNNNNNNNNNNNNNNNNNNNNNNNNNNNNNNNNNNNNNNNNNNNNNNNNNNNNNNNNNNNNNNNNNNNNNNNNNNNNNNNNNNNNNNNNNNNNNNNNNNNNNNNNNNNNNNNNNNNNNNNNNNNNNNNNNNNNNNNNNNNNNNNNNNNNNNNNNNNNNNNNNNNNNNNNNNNNNNNNNNNNNNNNNNNNNNNNNNCCUACAGUUAGCCUCAUACCCCUACAAAAUUUUAAAAAUUCUCAUUCUACCCUUAAUUGGUUUUAACCAAUUUACCAUUUCAUUUUUACCAUUCAGUUGAAAAUUUCAGAAAUUACACUUUCACACCCCUUGCACCGGAACUCCUGCAAAAAGACUUCCGGUAUGUAUUUUUCCCAAACCGGAAGACUUCAAGAAUGACUUCCGGAACACACAAAACAAUGAACCGGAAGACUUCAUGAAAGAGUUCCGGUUCAAUCAGAAAAAAUUUACAAAACCAGAACACUUCUUGAAAGAGUUCCGGUGAACAAAUUUAUACAUACCGGAACUCUUUGGAGAAGUGUUCCGGUUUGUAUUAUAUGUGUUCCGGAACUCUUUCAUGGAGUGUUCCGGUUCGCUUUUUUUUUUAAAUUUUUUUUUUAAUUUUUUUAUUUAUUUAUUUUGCAGGAAUGGAAAAUCUUUCCCAAAUAUGUGUAGAUGCUACUGAUGCGUUUAUGACGACGGAAAGAUUUGGUACACGAGAAAAGGUUAUCAGAUGAAUUAAAGAGGUUGGAAUCGAUAAUAAAGUAACAGUUAUUAUCAGUCGUUCAGAUACUGAAACGGGGAAGAGAGGGAGAAGUAACAAAAUAAUAUUUGGUUGUGAUAAAGGUGGGAAACACAAGAUUAGUGAUAGUGGUACCCAAAGUGCGUCCAAGAAAUGUGGAUGCCCAUUUAAAAUCAGGUCGACUCCGGCGAAAGAUUGAUGUAAAAUGUGGGUUACAUAAUCAUGAUUUACCUGAUAAAUUAGAAGGUCAUUCGUUUAUUGGUAGGUUGACCACAGAUGAGAAGGAACAUGUCGCUGAUUUGGCAAAGAGACAUGUAGCACUUAGACACAUAUUGCUUUCCUUGCAAGACCGAUAUCCUGAGAAUGUCACUCGGAUUACGCAAGUAUACAAGCAUAAGAGUGUGAUACAAAAAGAGAUAAGAGGUCCUAGGAGUGAGAUACAACAUUUGCUUAAGCUUAUUGAGGAUGCAGGCUAUGUCUAUUGGAGUAGAAAAAAGGAUGACUCGGAAAUGGUGAGAGAGAUAUUUUGGGCACAUCCUGAUUCAAUUAAGUUGUUGAAUAUUUUUCCGAUUGUGUUAGUUAUGGAUAACACCUACAAGACAAACAAAUAUAGACAACCUUUGUUUGAAAUUGUUGGCAUGACAUCGACCGAGUUGACUUUUGCUGUUGGAGUUGCGUAUAUGGAGUCUGAGCAAACAAAGAAUUUUUGCUGGGUAUUGGAGAAAUUAAAAGAGUUGUUUGUGAAGAAAGACAUGUGUCCACAAGUGAUUUUGACAGAUAGAGAUCUUGCUUUGAUGAAAAGCAAUUGAAGUUGGUUUCCCAGCUCGAUUAACUUGGUAUGUAAUUUCACAUUAACAAAAACGUUGUGCCAAAUGCAAACAACAUGUGGUGAAUGACCUGCAAGACGAUAGACACAUUAUGGAUGAAGUUGUUUGGCGCUAGUGAUGAGUUGAGUAUGGUAAAACGGUUGGCACAACUUGAGCAAGCAUGUGUUGAUAUAAGGGAUUAAUAAGUAUGUGUGAAGACACAUGGUUGACCGCACAUAGGCAUAGAUUUGUUGCAGCAGGAUUCAUCGAGUGCUACAUUGAUACACAGACUAAUCGGUACGUCUUAUAAUUUGUAUGUGUUAUUUAAUAUCUGAUAUUUUUUCUAUGUUAUUGUUAUGGUGUAUUUUCAAUAUUUUUAGGGUUGAAUCUGGGCUCAUUGGAAUUAAACAGAUGUUUAGCGAACAUAUAGGGAAUGUCAAAAUGUUGGGAAGGCAUGAAUAACAACUUGAGGUCAAUGGGAAACAUUAGAGCUUUUCAACGAGUUUACGAAGUUGAGCACGCGCACGGUAAGUCCCUUUUAUGGUUAUUUGCGUGGUUCCGUAUCUCAAGCUGCUUGAGAAACGUAUUGCUGAAGAGUUAGUGAAAGUGAUUAUGUUGGAACUGAACAGCAAAUUGUGGUUGUAAACUCUAGAAGCAUCUUAUGGGUACUUUAUGUAUAGUUAGGAGCAUACAGACUGAGGUGGUAUCCGAAACAUAUGCUGUCAUGUUCAUUGGAGGAAACAAUAUUGAAGUUGAGUUGAGUAGGUGAAAUCGAUGAUCAGAGUGGAGGAUAUGACUUCUGCAAUGGAUGAGUGUGGAGCGAUUUAGGUCAUUAGAUGUAUUGGGAAAGGGCAUUAAAGAGUAGGGUAUGUGAACUUACAUACCAACAAUUACACAUUGUGUCACCACCUGAGAAAAUAACAACCAAAGAGGAUGAGAAGAAAGGGAAAAAACCAGCAGAAAUGAUUGAUAGGGACCCCUUCGUAUCAUGAGUAUGGUGAUAGCAAUCUCAAUCUCACAAAGCAAUCUCAACCAUCAAGACUUUGAAGAAGAUAAAAUUAUCAAAGAACAAACCACAAUUCAUUCUCAAGUUCCCUAAUAUAUAGUCAUACAUUGAGAUGUAGUUAAUGUGAAUCAGAGGUAAUUAUGAUUAGAGUCAUUGCAUCAUUCAUGGAUAUGGUGAGGAUGGUGCCAAUGUUUCGCAGAGAGUUGGUUGGAAAUAAUAGACAAGGAUAUGUCAACUUUGUAGACAAGUUAUUCUUCUACAUGGGCGUUGUCAGCAGUGAGAGAAUCUUUGACUGAUAGAAUCUUUUGGUUCAACACUGAAAAAUGGUUGAGUAUACCAGAUAUGGGUUACUUGAUAGCGAAUCGGCUAUGAAUGUUGUACUUGUUUGUUUAGGCAAUCCGUGCCAUGACUUUUCUUUANNNNNNNNNNNNNNNNNNNNNNNNNNNNNNNNNNNNNNNNNNNNNNNNNNNNNNNNNNNNNNNNNNNNNNNNNNNNNNNNNNNNNNNNNNNNNNNNNNNNNNNNNNNNNNNNNNNNNNNNNNNNNNNNNNNNNNNNNNNNNNNNNNNNNNNNNNNNNNNNNNNNNNNNNNNNNNNNNNNNNNNNNNNNNNNNNNNNNNNNNNNNNNNNNNNNNNNNNNNNNNNNNNNNNNNNNNNNNNNNNNNNNNNNNNNNNNNNNNNNNNNNNNNNNNNNNNNNNNNNNNNNNNNNNNNNNNNNNNNNNNNNNNNNNNNNNNNNNNNNNNNNNNNNNNNNNNNNNNNNNNNNNNNNNNNNNNNNNNNNNNNNNNNNNNNNNNNNNNNNNNNNNNNNNNNNNNNNNNNNNNNNNNNNNNNNNNNNNNNNNNNNNNNNNNNNNNNNNNNNNNNNNNNNNNNNNNNNNNNNNNNNNNNNNNNNNNNNNNNNNNNNNNNNNNNNNNNNNNNNNNNNNNNNNNNNNNNNNNNNNNNNNNNNNNNNNNNNNNNNNNNNNNNNNNNNNNNNNNNNNNNNNNNNNNNNNNNNNNNNNNNNNNNNNNNNNNNNNNNNNNNNNNNNNNNNNNNNNNNNNNNNNNNNNNNNNNNNNNNNNNNNNNNNNNNNNNNNNNNNNNNNNNNNNNNNNNNNNNNNNNNNNNNNNNNNNNNNNNNNNNNNNNNNNNNNNNNNNNNNNNNNNNNNNNNNNNNNNNNNNNNNNNNNNNNNNNNNNNNNNNNNNNNNNNNNNNNNNNNNNNNNNNNNNNNNNNNNNNNNNNNNNNNNNNNNNNNNNNNNNNNNNNNNNNNNNNNNNNNNNNNNNNNNNNNNNNNNNNNNNNNNNNNNNNNNNNNNNNNNNNNNNNNNNNNNNNNNNNNNNNNNNNNNNNNNNNNNNNNNNNNNNNNNNNNNNNNNNNNNNNNNNNNNNNNNNNNNNNNNNNNNNNNNNNNNNNNNNNNNNNNNNNNNNNNNNNNNNNNNNNNNNNNNNNNNNNNNNNNNNNNNNNNNNNNNNNNNNNNNNNNNNNNNNNNNNNNNNNNNNNNNNNNNNNNNNNNNNNNNNNNNNNNNNNNNNNNNNNNNNNNNNNNNNNNNNNNNNNNNNNNNNNNNNNNNNNNNNNNNNNNNNNNNNNNNNNNNNNNNNNNNNNNNNNNNNNNNNNNNNNNNNNNNNNNNNNNNNNNNNNNNNNNNNNNNNNNNNNNNNNNNNNNNNNNNNNNNNNNNNNNNNNNNNNNNNNNNNNNNNNNNNNNNNNNNNNNNNNNNNNNNNNNNNNNNNNNNNNNNNNNNNNNNNNNNNNNNNNNNNNNNNNNNNNNNNNNNNNNNNNNNNNNNNNNNNNNNNNNNNNNNNNNNNNNNNNNNNNNNNNNNNNNNNNNNNNNNNNNNNNNNNNNNNNNNNNNNNNNNNNNNNNNNNNNNNNNNNNNNNNNNNNNNNNNNNNNNNNNNNNNNNNNNNNNNNNNNNNNNNNNNNNNNNNNNNNNNNNNNNNNNNNNNNNNNNNNNNNNNNNNNNNNNNNNNNNNNNNNNNNNNNNNNNNNNNNNNNNNNNNNNNNNNNNNNNNNNNNNNNNNNNNNNNNNNNNNNNNNNNNNNNNNNNNNNNNNNNNNNNNNAUUAUUUCAGUUAAUAUUUUAUGUUAUAUGACUUAAUCUUUUAAUUAUUUUACUUUAUCAGGUUAACAUGAAAGAGGGGUUUCCAUUGCCACCGGUCACAUUAGAUUGGAAGAAAUUUCGUUCUCAUAUAACAACUACUUGGAUGUUAGGAUUUGCAAGACGUAUGCAACAUUGGCAAUUACUUACACCUGUAUUAGCAUGAUUAUGUACUCAAAACAUAAAUAUGUAAUCAAAACAUGAAUUUUAUAUUAUUAUGUCUAUUACAUUCAAAGCUUAAUACAUAAAUCAAUGUGAACGAGAAAUACGCAAAGCUUCAAAUAAAUCAGAAAACUGUGGAUCUUCCUCUUCGGCAUUAACCUGUCUCAGAUAGCGAUGAAUCAAUGUAGAUACACGAGCCCAAUCAGGAUCAGAUGCCCCAGCGUCAUAUACAGGAACUGGUACCUCUCUAGGAUCGUCACGAUGGGGAUGGACCAACCGUGGAUGGGAAACACGAUAAUACCACUCCAGAUAACCGUCUUCUACAUCAGAUGGAGUGGUGGCCACGGUAGAUGAGCCGAUCACAGCGAUAACACUCUGAUGGUAACUGAUCCAAUCAACAUCAAUAUCCGUCGCCAUCAUACAAUCCAGAGGUGGGGAUGGAACAUACUGCCUAUACCCGAACUGACGUAAACAUCUAUCAGGCAAGUAUGGAACAACUGUUUCACCCCACUUCAAACAGCCCCUGUAAAGACAUAUCUCAUCAAAUACACGCCAUGCUCUAUGAUCCUCAAAUGGUCGCCAGAUGACGUCGGUAGGUGUCAGCUCGUCCAAAAUAGGUCGUAAAUCAUCGACCUUCAGGACUCCCUGUCUAUACGACCAUCUCAUCGCUCGGGGAAGACCACAGUUUCCAGCAGGAUUCCAAUUCUCCCCUCUUUUUCCAACAGUUGGAAAAUACUCGUGAAUCCAACACUGUUACAAAAUAAAAACAUAAUAAAUAAAACAAAUUAAGUUACAAUAUUUUAUAAAAUGAAUCCAACACUUAAUUAACAAAAUUAAAUUAUAUACCUGUAGGAGAGUAGGAUAUCCACCGAGCUGUUUGCAACUGUACAUGGACGCAUCUCCAAGAUAUCGGUAGAGGGUAACUAGUGCAGCUGCUCCCCAACUAUAUCCUGAACAUCCAUCCAAGUCCCUAAACAGGAGGAGGUAUCGUGCCUCUACAAGUGUAAAGGUCUUAUCAGCAAAUAUGGUGGAACCCACCAACAUCAAUAGAUAUGCUCUAGUCGCAUAUGCCCAGCUGGAAGCAGCCCUAUGAUGUACGAAUAAAUCAUAUAACCACUCCAACUUGUAAUACGACCCCUUGCAGCUACGAACAUGUGACUGUGCCUGACCCUGUGACACUCCUAGGUAGUCAACAGCAAGUUCAACAGCUACCUCUUCAGUCACAUCCUGAGGACUCCAGAAGAUACCCCUGAUGGGCAAGUGAAGUAGACAUGCGACAUCAUCUAAAGUAAUGCUCAUUUCACCAAACGGCAUGUGAAAUGAAGAUGUCUCUAGAUGCCAUCUUUCCACAAAUGCAGAGACAAGAUUUGUGUCUAUCUUGUUCAGACUGGUUCUCUGCAGUGAAGAUAAACCGGAUCUAGAUACCCAACUCUCCAUCUGUGGUGGAAGAGCCAAUGGAACCCUAGAAGUCAACUUCAGUCCAUGUCCAGCAACCUUCAACUCUUUCUUUGGACCUCUUUCCUAAAAACAAUUAAAACACAUAUUAGAAAACAAAAUAUAAAAUAUUCAACUAUUAUUCAUUUUCAAAUAUAGCCCGUUUACUUACCUCACCGAACCAUAAAUGUCGAGCAACAUGAUGCUCGUACUUCACCAAAAGAGACGUAUCGUACGGCCCUCCUGGAUAUCCAGCCGGCUCAGCUGCAGAUGAAGAUGCACCCCGGUCUAACGUGCGGACUGGAAUCCUACCAUCUGCACCUCGUCUUCGAACCACUGCAAAAAAAAAGUUUAAAAAAAUAAUUAAAUUUAAAAAUAAAAAAAAAAAAAACGUACCGGAACACUUCAAAGAAGAGUUCCGGUUAGUAAAAAAACAACAUGACUUCCGGAACACUUUCUUAAAGAGUUCCGGUUUAGAUCAUCCAAACCGGAAGUCUUUAAGAAAGACUUUCGGUAUACAACAAUCCAAACCGGAAGACAUUCUAAAAGACUUCCGGUUCAGUGCCCCUAAAGGCAACAAACCGGAACUCUUUAGAGAAGUGUUCCGGUAUACAUUUCAUGAACCGGAAGACUUACUUUGAGUGUCCCGGUUUACAAUGCCAAAAAGCCAAAAAUUUCUCUUCUCCGAAACUCUUGAACGAAAAUGGUAAAAAAAAAUUAGAAAUGGAAAAUAUACCCUAUUUAUAUGAGGGUAUUUUGGUAAAAAAAAUUAAAUGUAGGGGUGUGGGUACAAUUGUAGGGGUACGGGGUAAAGUUUUCUAAAUCCAUUGAACAUUCACUCUAAUUUUACUAUUCAAGUUGAGUCCUGUCUAGGUUGCAGACUACUCCCACCUUAAGGGCCCAUUCCAGAAUUUUUUUUAUAUAUUAUACUAAAAAAAAUUAAAAUAGUCUCUUUAUUUUGUAAGUAAUUAUGCAAUAAUAUAUGUAGUAAAUCUUAAAUUUCAAACCCAAAGUUAAGAUUUAUAAAUAACCCAUCUAAGUUAACAAUUAAAAUCUAAAAUAACACAUUAACUUAAUUCAAAUUAUUUAAAAUAAAACUCAAAUUAUCUUUAACACACAAAUUUAAAUAGUCUAAAACAAAUCGCAAAUUAUUCAAGAUAACACAAGAUAAUUUGGUCCAACUAAUUUUAAGUUAUCAAACUUAACACAAAAUAAAAUAGUCCUAACUCGACUUGCAAUAUCACUUGAUUUUUCUUCAACGACAUUCACAUGUUCAACGUUAGAUGUUUGUCCUCUUCCAUCAUCUUGAUUAGUAUUAUUGUCAUCAUCAAAUUCUACAAAAUAAAAAAAAUAAUCGCUAAAAAAAUAUACAUUAUUUAUAACACGAGUGAAUAACCUGCAACAAUAUGAAUCUAUGGUACAAUAGAAAAAAAUUAAAUUAAAUAGGUAACACUUAUAAAAAGUUAAAAAGUUUACCUUGAAAGUCAUAUAACCAACUUCAUGUGCACAAUGCUAAAAGUAUAUUCAUAUGCCACUGUGGUUUGGAAUAAUCAAUAUAUCAUAAGCCAUUCUUGCGAGAUUGGGACAUCUACGACAUUUUUUCUUCCAAUAAGCCAUGAUAUCAAAAUAAACCGAUGGAGGCAACCUUUACUCAUCUAAAUAAAAAUCAAGUUCAGAUUUUCUAAUAUUAUUACUUGUUUGACUUUCAUGCUCUUCAAAUUCCUACAAAUUAUACAUAUAAACAAUAAUAAAAUUUUAAAUUUUAAAAUUAAAUCAAUCAAAAGAAAUAACAAUACAUUGCAUUCGUAAGAGGAAACAAUAUAGUUUGCACUUACUUCAUAAAUAUAUAACGAGUAUGCCAAAGUUUCCUUUCCUCCUCCGCCAAAGUUUCCUUUCCUCCUCCAAAAGUAGGUAGCAGUUGUGAAAAGUUAGGAAUAGAAGAAAUUCCAUGUUUGACAUAUUCAACAUAAAGCUCGUAUAACUCACCCUUAAUCUUUUUAAACUUGUCUUAACUAGUGUUAGGAUCGAUUUUUUUAUAUGCAAAAUUCAAAAAGUUUAGUUUUUUUGUUGGAUAAAAAAUAGCACCAAAGGUCAAGAUAAUUCUACUCACUUCAAUACUUGUCAAAAUUUCCCCUCAUUUUUGUAGCCAUGUCUUGAAUCAACGAAUCUUCACUUAUUAAAUAAGAAUUCAAAAAACACUUUAUCUUCCAUAUUUCCCCAAAGUACAAAUUAAAAGUAGGAUAAGAAGUUCCAGAGAUCAAGUUUGUAAUAUUAUAGAAUGGCUUCAAGAGUUCACACAUUAUUUCAGAUCUUGCUCACUCUUCACUUGAAGGACAAUACUUAAAAUUUGAAUAUCGCAAACCUAAGCUAUAAAAGGCACGACGAUAAUUAACCGCACUUUUGAGCAUUAUAAAAGUUGAGUUCAAUCUAAUAACACAAUCAUAUCUAAUCCAAGUGUUGUAUCAAUCUCAUCAGCAUUACUAACACAUUCAUGAACUUGUAGUGUUAUACUUUCGGUUACCUAUACAUAAGCCACAUUUUGUCAAGUUUUAUGCAAUGCAUCACCAACUACCUUCAAUCCAUCUUGAACAAUGAGAUUCAAAAUAUGCGCGCAACAUCGGAUAUGAAAGAACUUUAAAUUAAAUAACAAGCUACUUGAUAAUCCUAAGUGUUCUUUCAAGAAUCUUUGAAUGUUGUCAUUUGCAGAGGCAUUGUCCAAAAUGAUGAAAAAAAUUCUUCUCUAUACCCAUAUCACUUAACAUUUCAAACACAUUCAAUGCUAAUUCUCGCUCAGUAUGUGGGGGUGUUGUUAGAUACCCAAAAGUGCUUAUUUGAGCUAUCAAAUAUGGGCAUCUUUCACUCCAUUUCCUUGCUAAAGUGUUCGAAACCACCUUUGUUUUAGAUGAAUUGCAAUACAAUGAUAAACGAUCUUAAAUAUGGGCAUCUUUCACUCCAUUUCCUUGCUAAAGUGUUCGAAACCACCUUUGUUUUAGAUGAAUUGCAAUACAAUGAUAAACGAUCUUGGUACCUUUGAUUUAUGUGUUAUUGUGCAGGAAUUAAGCAUGAAAUAAUAGAAAAUGAAGGCACAAGAAAGUUGGCAAAGGGACCAAAAAAGGAUGCAUUCAUCAGCUUGCUCGCUAGGCGAGGGCUGUGGCAAAGCGCUCGCUAGGCGAGCACCCAGUGAGCACCCAGCGAACAACUCCAGUAUUUUACAGUAGCAAACAUCAAUAAACUCGCUAGGCGAGCAGCCAGCGAAGGUGGUAGCGAAUACGUCCAGACUUGGUCAAAAGCGCAGCCAGCACUCACUCGCUAGGCGAGCCAUUGCAUGUGGGUGUAGAUUUGCAUGUACCUUAGAAGGAUGCCUUUCAUGAUAAAUCAUUUUGUUCUGAAAUAGACACCAUGAGACCUUGGGUUUUUCUGAAAUUUCAGUGUAAACAUUGCAGAACCCAAAAACCCGUAAGAUUCGCUAGCAACUCGCUAGGCGAAUCAGUGGCGAGCAUUCGCUGCCACUUCGCUAGGCGAACCUGUAGCGAAGCUUCGCUAGGUUCUCGCUAGGCGAAGCAGCAGCGACCAUGACAGUAGUUGGAAUUCUGUUUUGCUUUCUAAUCUGUUUUGUGUUUGUGUUAUUUCCUCUCUAUGUCUUUGCAGAUGGAAUCCAGGUCCGACGCUUCGAAAAAGAGAAAGGGCGGGAACACUUCCCGUCCCGUGCCCAUAUAAUUCGACACCGACAAAUUUUUCGGGCCAAAGCAAGCAGCUAGAUAUGUUACUUUGGAAAAGCGAAAGAUUUUGCCGGAAAAGAGAUUUAUAAUCAACCCUGAAGGCACGUACCGUACAUUCGCCGGGUUGAUUAACAGCAAAAAGUGGGACCGGUUGAUAUCUCCUUUGGAGCAUUAUGACAUCGCAACAGUGCGGGAGUUCUACGCGAACGCACUGCCGAACGACGACGAGCCAUUCACAUGGACGUCUAGAGUGUCCGGCCGUCCUGUUGCGUUCAAUCGGGAUGCAAUUAACCGUGUCCUGGGUGAACCGCUCCAUCUGGGAGCCAAUGAGAGAGACACUUACCAUAGAGAUUUAAGGCUUCACCGGGAUACCGAUUCAAUUUCUGCUGCCCUACUUUUGGAAGGGAAAUCAGUUGAGCUGAACCCAUCUGGGGUUCCGAUGAGGUACCAUAGGGAGGACAUGAUUCCCUUGGCUCAACUGAUCCUUUUGUUGGUUCUUACAAACAUUAAACCCAAGUCUCAUACUUCUACCGUGCCGAUCCCAGUGGCACACUUGGUUCACUGCAUCCUCACGAAUAUCCAGAUUGAUGUGGCGAGGAUUAUUGCUUUGGAGUUUGGAAGUUGAAGUCCGUGAUUUGGAAAACGGGCUUUAAAGGUCGGGGAGCAGCGAGUGAAUUGUGCCGGCCCUUGCUUGUCCCAGGUGUCUAAUACAUGGGCUUUUGUGGGCCAACGAAGCGAGGGGGGUUUGAAGGCGGGCCUGACCCCGUUCCCCCCAAGGGUCGAGGUAGGAAAUCCCGACCGUGCCCCGACCGGCACAUUGAUGACAGAUACGUGGGCGCUAGUACUGCAAAACCGAGAAUUUAAAGAAAGUAGUGUCAGCUGCUGAGGUUACCGGGGCUUUCUGAUGGUCCUGGUACUUUUACUCCGCAUAGGGGUCCCGAUCCUUUCCCCAGGCAGGCUGUCUGAAGCUGACAGACUGGGGAUUAGGUGGCGGCAACUCAACGGCGACGCAAAUGCUCGAUCAUGCACAAUUCUAUGCAGCUGUUACAGGUUUUGCAGAGUGCGCGACCCCUGCCGGUGAGGCAAAUUCUGAAUGAUGACGUGGAGCAAGUGUUCUCUGCAGCACGUAGUUUGGGCGCUGUGGACAGGCCUGUGUUGUGGAGUAGGGGGCGGGUUGGCUGGUGCCAGACUGGUGCUGGUGCCUUCCCUUCGUGGUGGCUUGGCUGAAGAUAAUGAUGAUGAUGAUGCUACCGGUUCUGAAGGACGGUAGUGAUGAGGUUAUGAGUCUUAAGGAGGGCUAGUUUAAUUUUAUUUUUCAUAUUAUGUUUUAUUUCUAUUGUAUUUUCAAAGAUUUGUGUUUUUGAUUUUUGGUGGUAUCGUACUUUUGGGGUGUUUUGUCGCCCAUGCACCAAUUUAUAAAUUUGAAAGUAGAUAGUUAUUAUUGUAUGUUUUAAAAUUUCUUUUUGUUUUAUAAAUUUGUUGGUAUGGUUGAGGUGUCAACGCUUUCUAGGAGAUUGGCAUGUAGGCUUCCUUCAAGAGAAGUUAUCCCAAGUGAAGGUGCAUCCGAAGGCUUUGGAUCGGCAUGAUAAAUACCAAAGUGAAUAAUGGCUAAGGUACAUGGUUACCUCCGGCUAGAAUGAUAUUAGAAUGCAUUAAGAACUUUAUCUGUUUUUUUGAUAUUGAAUAUUGUUCUUUGUUGCAACAUAGGAUUGAGAGAAUGGAAUGGUUUCAAUCUGAGGACUUAAAAGCACAAAUUGUGGAGGAAGACCUCAUUUAGUCCCUUAGAAUGCUGGAUUCUAAUAAGCUUUGUUGGAAUUUCAUUUUGAUUCAGAAUGCUUUGGUCUUUUAUUAUUGUGGAAUGAUGUGGAAGAAUUAGAAAUGUAUCAAGGCACUUGUUUUGCUAUCGAGCACACCAGUUCACUACAACUUACCUGUGAGCAGAGAGAGUAUUCGUUAAACAGCCGUUUGAGCUUAAACAGUUGAAUUCUCACUUGAAAUAACCGCGAGAUUUCAAAAAUCUUUUUUUUUUAAAGCCCGGAACAAUUCUUGAUAAUUGUUCUUUGCCGUAAAAAGGUCAAGAGCAUUCACUUAGGGUGAGUAAGAAUAAGUUGGGGGAGCACGAAAAGUGAGAAUGCGGUAAGGUGCCACAACCGUCUGUGAAAACCGAGGCAAGGCAUUAAAAAAAAUAAUGAUAUAUAUAAAGAUAAUAGAAAAGAGAAACAGUUUGUUUUGUGGUAAAUAUGAUGUGAAAGAAAAAAAAAAUAGCGAGUGAAAAAUGAAUGCUUGCUUGGAGAAAAUAGUGAAAAAACAAAAAAUGUGAGUUGUGAAAUAGAGAGUUUGUGAAAGGGUUCAAAUAGAAAGCAAAAUGGAACGCAAGUUGAGAUGGUUGUGAAUGAUGUGAGCACGUGGGAAUGUCUCUUUUGGCAUCGGCUAAAUUUCGUUUUCCACUGGCCUUAAGAAAUGGACGCCUUGUUUGUUUAACACUUAAGCCGAGGCUUCAACCGAAAGUCCUUAGUGAAGUCUUCGUGGGCUUGUCCACAUGACCGGAUAUUAAUAAUUGUUAAGACAUUGUAUAAAUUGGAGAUUGAUUUCCUCUUCAUUGUUUUGUUGGAGAGUGGAUUAUUCCGCCGGGCGGUUGCAAACGCGUAAUUUCUUCAUCCUUAUUCGAAGAGGAGAGAAUAGGGGUGAUUCAUGUCAAGAGUAGAUCUGUUUGUGGUAGAUAGCCAGUUAUGUCGCAUUGCUGAUUAAGUUAGUUCUUGUGUAUUAUGCUAAUUCUAAAACUGUUGGAAAUUUGUAUCUGCUGAUUCGCUGUGUUGUGAGUCGUUUUUAAGUUCCGACUUCGGAGAAACCUUUUUCCUUAAAGCGAAAUCCUCUUGGUCCUUCGGGCAUACUUUGCUUGAGGACAAGCAGCAUCUAGUUGGGGAGAGUUGUUAGAUACCCAAAGUUCUUAUUUGAGCUAUGCAAUAUGGGCAUCUUUCACUGAGUUCAAUUUCCUUGCUAAGUGUUCGAAACGCACCUUUGUUUUAGAUGAAUUGCAAUACAAUGAUAAACGAUCUUGGUACAUUUAUUUGUGUGGUUAUUGUGCAGGAAUUAGGCAUGAAGAUGAUAGAGAAAUGGAAGGCACAAGAAGUUGGCAGGGACGCAAAAAAGGUGCAUGUCAUCAAGCUUGGCCCGUCGCUAGGCGAGGGCUGUGGCGGCGCUGCGCUAGGCGAGCACGCGCAGGCGACAGGCUCCAGUGAGUUUUACAGGUAGGCGAGGACAUCAACAACCCCGGCUAGGCGAGCAGCGCAGCGAAGGUGGUAGCGCAUACGUUCCAGACUUGGUCAAGAAAGCGGCAACAAGCACUCCACCUCAGCUGAGGGCAGACGCUUAGAAGCUCGCCGCGAGAGAAUUCCAGUAGCCAAAGGAACCCCUAGCUCGGCUGGACAGGCGGAGGUUGAGCGUGGCUUCGUCUAGCGAGAGGUUUUGUUCGCCUAGCGAACAUGGCAAUCUGGCAAGGAUAUUUCUUUGGGCGCAGAGUGCCUCAGGUGCCUCAUUUUGGGGCUGCGGCUGGCGACGAGGGCAGAAGUGGUCGCUAGCGAGCCGCAAUAAUGAGGCAGCGCUGAGGCACUGCGCCAAGAAAUAUCUUAUAGGCCAGAUUUGCAUUGUUGCUAGGCGACAAAACCUUCGACUAGGAAGCCCACGCUUCACCUUGCGCUCCAGGCGAGGCUUAGGAGGUGUGUUUGGCUAAUGUUUCCGGCGUGGGGCUCUCGUAAUGGCUCGCCUAGCGAGGUGGUGCAUGGUUGCGCUUUUGACCAGUAUCUGGACUUUCCGCUAACUCGCUGGCUUGCUCGCAGCGAGUUUUUGAUGUUUGCUACUGUAAAUACUGGAGUGCGCUGGUUCCUGGGUGCUCGCCUAGCGAGCGCCUUUCGCCACGCGCGGCCCGGCGCUAGCGAGCAAGCUGAUGAAUGCUAUUCCUUUUUGGUCCUUUGCCAGACUUAUCUUGUGCGUCAUUUUCUGAUUAUUUCAUGCUCUAAUGUCCUGCCACAUAACACACGAAUCAAAGUACGCAGAUCGUUUAUCAUUGUAGUUGCAUUCAUCUCAAACAAAGAGUGCGUUUCGACACAUUUCGCAAUGGAGUGAAAGAUGCCAAUAUUUGUAGCUCAAAUAAGCUUUUGGGUAUCUAGACCAACGGUCUCCCAGCUGAGAUUCUUUGCUUGUUCCCAGCAGUAUGGCUCUUGGAAGGAGCAGAGGAUUUGCUUUAAGAAAAGUUUCGUUGCGCGAGGAGUGCGGAUAAAACGACUCACACAAGCGCGGAAGUCAGCAGAUACCACAAUUUAUCAAGCAGUUAGAAUACGCAUAAGUACACAGAACUAACUUAAUUAGCAAUGCGGAUAUGUAGUCUAUCGCCAACAAAUAUUAUGCUUCGAUGAUCCACCCUAUCUGCUCCUGCUUCGAUAAGGGAUUGAAGAAAUUACGCGUUGGCCAACCGCGGGAGAUAAUCUCACUGCUCGCAACAACAUGAAAGAAAUGCAAUUCAAUUUAAUACAGUGGUCUAUCAAUUAUAAAUCGGUAAUGUGGAAGACGAAGAUCACUAAGGACUUUUUUUGGUUGAAGCUGCGUUAGGUUAACAAAAGGGUCAUUUCUAGGCCAUUGAAAACGAAUUGCGAUGCAAGAGACAAUUCAACUGUACAUUAUUGCACACAUCUGCAACUUCGUUCCAUAUUGUUUGCGUUAUUUGAAACCUUUCANCUCGCUAGGCGAGCACCCAGCGAACAGCUCCAGUAUUUUACAGUAGCAAACAUCAACAAACUCGCUAGGCGAGCAGCCAGCGAAGGUGGUAGCGAAUACGUCCAGACUUGGUCAAAAGCGCAACCAGCACUCACUCGCUAGGCGAGCCAUUAGAGAGCUCCCAGCGAGAAAUUCCAGUAGCAAAACCUCCUAAGCUCGCUGGAGCGAAGGUUGAAGCGUGGGCUUCGUCUAGCGAAGGUUUUGUUCGCCUAGCGAACAUGCAAAUCUGGCAAAGGAUAUUUCUUUGGGCGCAGGUGCCUCAGGUGCCUCAUUUUGGGGCUCGCUAGGCGAGCCAUUCUGCUCGCCUAGUGAGAAUGACAACUCAGUAGCAGCACUAUAAGUAGCAGGGGCUACUUUUUGGAGCCAUACCUUACACUUUCAUACUUUUGUACUUUUGAGAUAUUUUUCCAGCAUUGCUCUAGAGAUACUUUGUGACCUAGAAAUCAUUUUUCUUCAUCUCUUAACAAUCUUUCACAAAAAGAAGGUGGAUUCCCAUCCAAUCUCGAUUAUUCGACUCGGAUGUUGAUCAACCUUCUUCCGAAACUUGUUGACCAAGCUACCAUGAAAAUGAGUAGCUAAGUUCUUCAUUUUGUCAAGGUUAGAUGUAGAUGGUCAUAAGCUUUGUGUGUAUAUGAGAUGAUCUUCAUUUGUAAACUCUUUAAUGAUGAAUAUAUGGUGAAAACUUUGUUUUAUUGAAAACUCUUUGUGUUGGUUUAUGAUCGAGAGAUGUUUACCAACUCUUUACCUAGGUUUUCAUCCAAUCUUGUUUGUUAGCUAGAGAUAGUAAUGAAUGAUUUUGUUCACCAUAAGGUUGAACCAAAAAGUUGUCAUUUUGAUAGAUUGUGUUAGAGAUAAACAAUGGAUCAAAAUGGGAAAACUCACAAUGUGUGUUAGAGAUAAACACAUUGGGAGGACUUUGUGAAAUAGUUUAUCAUCUAAAGGAGUUUAUAAGUUUUGUUGAUCGAACAUAUACAUGCAAAGUGAUCGUCGAACCCUAACUUUGGCAAUAUUUCUCAAAUAUUAAAACCAAAUCUUUUACCGCAUUUUCUCACACUUUUAUGCAAGAUACCGUGACUAAAGCCAAAACCCCCUUGUUACUACGAGUUAAGAAUUGAAACAACUGUCGAACGGCGGCGAUAUCUCACAAUCCCUGUGGAGACGAUAACAAAAACCCGACACUUAAAAACACAAUCAACAGGUGUCAUGUGAGCAAAUUCUAAAAUCUUAUUUUGCAACUUCCAGUUCACAUCAAUAUAAUGAGUAGUUAAAGAAAUAUAACCUUCAUUAGUGCAUGUAGUCAACCAAUCAGAAGUCAAACAAACUAUCCCCCUUAUUUGAGUCAAUUGUGACUUAAGCUUUCGUUUCUCAUCCUCAUAAGUUUUCACAACAUCGUUGGAAAAAGUAUUUCUAGUAACAAAGGUACAAUCAUCAUUCAAUUUUUUUAUAUUUCUUAAAAACCCUAUAUUUAACAAAAUUAUACAGUACACCGUGUGUAAUCAUGAUUUUAGCUAAGAUCUCACGGUUAACCUUAGGAUCAAUUUUUUUUAUUUCUCAUCUUCCUUCAGCAUCAAGCAUCAUAUCACUCACAUCAUGAAAUUUUGGGAUAAACUUACAACUGUUAACAUGACGGGUUAAAUGUGAAGUUCCAUUAGUUGCAGCACAACUUAUUAAUUUUCCAUAACACUUGCAUUUACAUUUUUUCUCUUUACCAUCUACAGCCCCAACCUUUAAAAAAUGUUUAGACACUUCAGAUGUAAAAGGUCUUUUGUUUUUUAGUAGUUGGUUCAAAAGACUCUUCUUGGUUAAUCUCAAUGUCAUCAAGAUCAAUUACAUUAAAUGGAGAAAAUAGUGGUACAAGUGGAGUUGCCCUAAGUUGUCUAGCAUUAACCUCCCCAUUACUACUAAUUUACAUAAUAAGAGUAGACACAAAUUGAAAUUAUGUUCCUCAAGGGACAGAUGUCGAAAACGAUGCUCCAACAACAGGUUCAAUAAGUUAAACCAGGACUAACACAAUAGAAAAUACUGGAUGAUGAAGCAGAAAAACAAUAAAUCACAUGAUAGUUGUUUACCUAGUUCGGUGAAACCUCACACCCAAGAAAGUAAAUUCACUACUAUUAGUUUAGUACAUUUAGUUUUGUAAGCAACAACAAAUCCUAUGUUGUUCAAUGCCUCUUCUAACACUACCCAAUGACUUUCUAUUUAAAGUUUCCCCAAAAUAUGAGAACUUACUCUCUUUCUUCUCAAUCACACAACUCAUGAUUGGAGAUUACAACUCAAUAAUCAAUGUUGUAUACUACCACUCAACUCUAGACAAACCUUUUAUGUCAAGUUACUGAAACAUAGAGGUGUACAUACAACAAUAACAAGGACUCAAAAAUAAACCCUAACACUCUAAAUCUUCAAUGUAUUGCCUGCUUCCAAUGUAGGUUUUGAGCUCCUUAUAUAGCAUAAUAACCCUGGGAUUUUCUUCAUGGAUUUGAGAUUGAUUUCAUCCAAAAUUAAUGUAGAAUUUGUUGAAUAUUUGAUUUGUUCCUCGAAUAUAUCCAACAAGAUAUGAUUUAUUUUAAUUUAAGUUCAAAUUUAAAUCUUCAUUUAAAUAUGAAUCAAUUCGUCCAACUGUCAAACAAAUCACCUAAUCAUAUUUCUAAGUCAAUUAGCAAUAAAAUAAAAUUGAAUCCUCUCAAAAGAUUCAUGCAGAAUGCAAGAACGCAACAUUCUGGAGAUUGUUAAGUAAGGCCCAAAUGUCAUACCAGUAUGCUGGAGCAUCGCGUCUAAGAUGUGUUUCUUUUACAGCUUAAGCAAACUAGACCAAUCUUGAAUAACUGGACGUUUCUCCAUGUUGUUUAUUUUCUAAAUGCAGUCAAUGCAAAGAGCAUAUCCAAUAGGAAUUGCACCAAUUAUAAUCCCUACAUGCAAAUCAACACAAUAAUAACAACAAGCAUCAAAUUCAGAUCAACAUAAAAUUAUCCCUACUAUUUCUAUAAAAUCAACACAUAGUCACAUCACCACAAUCCUGUUUUAUGAAAUAAACGCAAAGUCACCCGUUUUGUAAAAUCACAACAACAAUCACAAAGUAUGGUUUUAUGAAAUAGACACAGAGCCACUGGUUUUGUAAAAUCACGACAAUAAUCACAAAGUCUGGUUUUGUAAAAUCACAACAACAAUCAAAAGAAUCACAAUAGCUUGUAAAACAUUUGGUUUUGUAAAAUUAAAGUUGAUUCACAGAAAAUACCACAAUAUAAUCACAAUAACAUCAAUCACAGAUUCACGUAAAACAAUUACCGAAAAAGAAGAAUUGAAGAUGAGUCACGACUCACAAGUUCCUUUCGCAUACACAGUCACAAAGAAUUGAGGUUCCUUUCAUAGACGCAUUCACAACUCGCAAGUCAUAAAAGAGAGACAAGGUCUCAACUCAUGAACGUGCGCGCGCGCGCGCGAGAGAGAGAGAGAGAGAGAGAGAGAGAGAGAGAGAGAGAGAUGCAAUUGUUGCACAAGUCAAUCACUCUGAUUCACGAAACACAACAGAAGAGAAACAAUUGAGCUAUGUCUUUUUUAUCGAAACAUAGCAGAAGAGAAACAAUAAUUGAGCUAGGUCUUUUUCUCAAUUCUUUUUUAAGACUUGGACUUGGACUGUAAAGUCUGAGUCUUUCAAGUUGUAAUUGGGUUAGUAUGGGCCUUAUACUAGAGAUUAGAUAGAUUUUGGCCCAAUUGUUUUUUUUCUUUGUUGAAUGUUUAUUGUGGGCUAACUAUAUUAAAUUUUUCAAAGUUUUUUUUCCGGGUUGUGGGCUGCUUAUAACCCAUACGGUCUGCCCCAUAUUCUUUAAGACUUUUUCAGGUCAGGCUAGCAAAGGCCCGAAAAAAAUGGGCUAAACAAUUAAGGCUCAAGCCCUAACUUUUUUGGGGCUUGAUGGGCCGGCCCAUGGCCUUCAGCCCAUUUUGACGACUCUACCAUGACUUGAGUGCAAAAUCAUAACGCGUAGCUGCCAGGCUAAAACCGAUAGCAUGUAUGAUAUUUCAACAACUAUGUAUAUGCAUUUAAUAUUUAAUAUUAUAUGAAACACUAUGGGUUAAAUUUUGAGGCCUCCAUUUUUCUAAGGCCCUGUAAAAUGGGUCAGGUUGCAUAGGCCCAAAAUCGGCUCUGCUAUAAACCCUAAAACACUUAAGACAAUUAGCGAAGAAGAAAUGAGAAACAGUAAGAUGGAAAUUGAGUACCUUAAACUCUGAUUUAGAAGUUUUAUACAUUUGUUCUAGAAUAAGCAUUGUGGGCUUUGGUAAUCUUUGUCGAUGUUAAAGGCGUUGUCUCAACCUUGUCUUUGUAUUGGUUGUUGGAAUUAAUUUGGGUCAUGGUUUGAGUUUGGCCCAAUCCAAAACCUUAUGCAUGCUAAUAUUUGUGAGCUUGUUUUUGUUAUGCUUUCUUGUUUUUAAGCCUUUAUGGCCAUUAUUUUGAAACAACCUCUCAUAUUUUUAUCCAAAGAGGAUGACUCAUUUGAUUGGUUUGUUGACGUGUCUUAAGGAAAAUUGGGUUGUUCCUCCAGACUUCAUUUUGAAAGGACCUUUGGUUAGGACCCAUUUACUUAAAGAUUAAGUUCUUUGGUCAGUUUUCUACCUCCAUUCAAACUGAUGGGUUGGUGGGAAAGACCGGUUUGGUGGAUAACAAUGACCUUGUUUGGGGUUUCAAAUGAAGGAGGCCCUUCUUUCUUGAGAGUUACAUAUGUUUGAUAAUCUUCUCUCUCUACUUUAAGGUGUUACUCUCUCUCUCUCUCUCUCUGAAUAAAGAUAAGUGGAUUUUAAAAGCAUUCAAGAUAAGGAUUUUUCUUUAUUGCCUUUCCUUACUAUUCAAUCAGUUGGUUCUUUGACAUCUCUUACGACAUAGAGCUUGAUCAUUUCCCUUAUUUGGGUUAGUUAGGCUCCUUCUAAGGUGUUGGUAUUCUCCUGAUAACUUUUGCAAGAUAGACUCCAUUCUAGAGAGAACUUAUCUAAAAUGAAGUGAAUGUUGAUCCUAGUGGGAUCUCUUGUCCCUUUUGUAGGGAUUCUGUUGAGUCAGUCUCCCAUCAUCUUGUCACUUGCGAUUUAAUCUUGUAUGUGUGGUAUAUGAUCUUCCAGUGGUUGGGUUAAGAGGUGGUACUUCCAAUAUACCACAUGUUUCUUUUUAAGACUUUCCUUUCUUUAGGGGUAAGGCCAAGUCUAUGGGUGAUUUUGUUAUGAUUUUGUAGUCAAGAUCAACAUUUAUUCAACUCUUUUCAUUUCAGUUUCCUCUGUGGAGCUAGAGUAUCCAUUUAUGAUUCCCGAACAGAACACCGUAUCGGAGGCUACAAUCAUUUGUGUCCUCCACUAAACUAUUCAUUUAUGGUUCCUGAAUGAAAUAGUGGCGCCGUCUAUGGGAAUUGACUUUUGAUUCCUACGAUUUCAUGAACAUUAUCGAACAAACUAUACAGUUCCGGAUCUUGAUUCUUGCGAUUCAGAUUUGAAUCUUCUAUUUACUAGUUCUGAACCUCCUUAGGUUACCGAAUCAAGAGCGCACCAGCCUCUGAUUUAUACGUUUUCCAUAAAUCGGCAUUCAUUUUUUGUCUUCAUCGUUGAUAACUUCCUCAAAUCUCAUAAUCGAAAAACGCUAGGUUACGAAGACCAGAGGUCCACCAAGCAUAUUUGAAGAAAAAUACCCCAGACUCUAGUCACGAGGAGACCAAUCGAUAUCAAUCUCUGCCCACUACUUAGAGUCCUUGUUCCAAAGAAAACACUAGAAUGGCCUAUUAAGGGACACCGUUUGCAUCCUACCAUGAUUCUAGUAUGAUAAAAUUCGACUAUUAGGCCAUAUUUACCACAAGCGCACCCCAAAUAUAUAAGAGGUAGAUAACCAUUAUGGGGUAGGAAAAGAAGCCACUGACUCUAAACACGGUGAUAAAAAAUUGUCUUGCCAAAGCAUUAGAUAGAGAAAUUCAAGGAGUUUAAAAAUCAAUAGCUGACAUCAAGAUACCUCCCAUGAGAAGUUGAUCCUCCAACAACAUAGACAAGCAAAUGCAAGGCAAGGCAAGACACCUUGAAUACAGUUUAACCGAUGAGGACGCUUUAAAGCAUGACGUGCAUCCAUAUUGGAAACUCGAUAAAGGCAACGACCAAAGACUCAAGACGCCUUCCGACCACGUCGAGAUCACCAUUAAGGGUUAUCCAUCCUGAUCGUUCUUUAUUUUUUUGUAGUAAAUUUAGGAACAAACUUAAAAAGAUCAAGUGCUUUAGCAGAAAUUACAGCAUCAAGGAAGAACUUCCUUCCAUGCUCCACAAAUCUCUCAUGACUCCAAUCAUGUUCUCGAUUGUCUGCUUAAGAGAGUUAUGAAGCACCUGUCUCAGAUCGACAAAUUCAUCCUAGAGAACUUUUAAGGCCUUAGUCGCUUGAACAAAGGCUUUCCGAUAGUUUUCCACCUGGCUAGCCUUUUCCUCAACAGGAUCAGAAGCGACCUUGUAUCACUUAUAUUCAUCUCAGAGAGAAACCUUAUGUUUAGUUACACGAGCCAUCAUGGUAGAAGAGGAGCCAUGAACUUUCACUACCUUUUAAAAUAUUUAGCAACUUUAACUUCCCCUGCAACGCAAUAGGCUCCUUUUGAUGAUUAGUGCACUUAAGAUCCAUAGCUUUGAAAUUCCCCUUUCAUUAUCCCUUUCCUUGAAAGGACUACAUAGGGCCAAGACAUCACCCUGUCUAGAAGAGAUGAGAGAAAAAAUAGAAGCAACUUUGGACAUGCUAUAGGAAAUUUCAUAGGUCAUUUCCAUCUCAUCCCCCUCAGAGAGAUUCUGGACGAAGGAUAAAUACAAUGUCGAAACAAUAUCAGGAGCCUCCCCAAGAGUGCACAAAAGCCUAGAAGAGAAGAUAUUUGGUAUCUUUAUAAAAGGAGUCACCUCCUCGGAAGCAUUGCCCUUAGCGACCUGAGUCCGUUUCAGAGAACACUUAAUCCAAAGAGAUUAUUGUUCCUCCUCCCGAACCCUCUCGGUUGAAGCUGGAGGCGAUGUUGGUUCCUCCGUCGUCAAAGUGGCCUUAACAUACACAACAUGAUCCACCACGGACAAAGGAGCUAGCGCUUCUACAAGUAGGGUAGGAUAAGGAUCAACAACCACCAAAGGAGUGAGGGCAGAAGUACCAAUAUUCACCACAUCCCAAAUACAUUGGGCAUUUACAAGGCGGUAGAACAUGUUCAACUGGCUUAUCUUUUCCAUGCUAUAUACAAAAUGCAACCGCACAUGUAAAAAAAGAAGCAUGAAAACUCCACCUCGCUAAAGAUCUCCCUCAUUUCCUUAAGAGUAACUGCACUCAAGAUAACAUGAGUAUCAACUUGCUUUUUCCUCACUUUGGUAGGGGCACAUUACCAGGGUUGAACCCUUCCUCAUAACCAAGUACAUGAAACCAAGAUUGCAUUUCCUCCUUCAUUGUCACCUUGUCCGAAGAAAGAGAGCCCGACUGGAUACAAUAGGAGUCAACAAUCUGAUUUAAGUGGAUCUCAAACUAGUACUUCAAAUACGAAAUCAGACAGUAUAAAGGAGAAUCGCCAGGGAUAUAACAAAAAAUAAAGUGAGCUAUAGGGCGUGAAGGGCUUCACCAAUGUGAAACAUCCUAGGAAGUCACCCUAAUCCAGAGUAAAAGGAUGGAAGCGAGGGAAGACCAACUAAAGGUGAAGAAUGCAGUGAUUGAGAAAGUUAUCAAGGGAAGUAUACCUCAGACGGAAAAGAUUGAAAAAUAAGCUGAGAGAGGGCUUCCAGGGUUUAUACUCAACACAUAGUUGGAAGACUCUCACUUAUGCCCAUGAACUCGAAUGAAACUGUGGAUGGGAAAUCUUCAAAUGGUUCAAGACGACUAGCUCAAAUUCAGAAAAGGGCACCCGAAGUCUUAUUCUCGUAAAUAUAUACUCGUUGAAAUGAACCAUGUAGUCGUCAAAAGAGUUGCACAUCCUCUUCCCCUACGACAUAAGAAAUACCAACCAUUCCGAAGGAUUGCCAACCACAAUGUCAUCAUCACACAGGGUGGCCUCAGUGCUCAGAUCUGAAGAGAUGUAUGCCACUAUUGCAUCUAUCCAGUCAAACUCCAACGCAAACGGCAGACAUCAACGUUACUAGGCUCACAACCAAUGGUCUGAAGGCAAACUCAGAUAAAAUAUCUGGAAAGUUCCCUCAUUUGUAAGCCAACCCUAAUCUUCUCCUCUGACUAGACGUGAGGGGGCAUAGGGACCUCAGAGUGAGUUAUUCUCCCACCAAUAUUUGAUAGGGUGUCUAACGACCUAUAAGAAGAAGUUUCUUCCUCAAAGGAAGUCUCAAACAUCCCUUCUGACCCAUAAUUGUCAGAUAUGAAUAGAAAUUUUGGUCCUACGUGACCAAUACUAAGAGAAGGGUGAGGAGAAUUAGGGGAUGACCUAGAUGAAGUAUUAAAUUCCAAAUCACCCAUUAAAUCGAUAGUGUUAUGAAUCAUUCUAACUAAGGAAAUACUGAAGGAAAAUCUUGAGUUAGAAGGGCACCUGGUUAGAAGAAAUUGAUGAAGCAUGAGGAAUGAAAAAGACAAAAACUUUAAGUGAAGCUCUGAGUCAUUUCUAGUGACAUUCUUAGGAAAAAAGAACAAAAACGUUUCUCUAAAAAAUAACUGUAAGCAUAAAAGCUAAAAAGUUGCGAAAACUUCCAAAUAUUUAACUCACUUUAUUUAUAAGUAGCGACAACUGAAAAAUCAAGACCAACUAUGAAAAGAAAUCAUGAAAUCAACGACUAGAUCUCCACUCAUGGAUACAUGCCAAACUCAAGUACUCUAUAAACUACGCCACACCCUAUAGUUUGUCACUUCAUCUCACGUGUCAGGAAUGAGUGACGAAGCAUCUCGUCGAUGAGACCACAUUAAAUGCGCUUGUUCCCCAUUACUUUUUCAAAAUUGAUUUCAAGCUAUGCGGUUCUAUUUCACAUCGGAACACGACAUGGAGGUCGGUAAAUGAUACUUAAGACUUCCCCUACAUCCUUCAAUUCUUGGCAAAGCCUUGAGGGAAACUGUUCUAAAUUGGCCAAAUGCCUUGAGGACAAAUGUUCUGAACCGGCCAAAUGCCUAAUGGGUCAAGGCCCAAUCCAUCUCAAAUCCAAUCUACUCAAUCCAAAGCAUAAAAAUAGUUCAAACGCAGAAACAAGACACACAAUCUCUAAUCUCCAGUUUCAUUAUACUCAUCUUGAACCUUAAACUGACUUGGAUGUUAGAGUGUUAAUCAUGCAGGUUUACCUUGUGUCUUCGUAAAGGAUAUUAGAGCCACUGCUCAAGAUCAACAAUUGUUCAACUCUCUUCAUUUUUUAUUCCUCAAUGGAGUUAGAAUAUCCAUUUUUGGUUCCCGAACAGAACAUCGCUUCGGAGGCUACGAUCAACCACCUUUUCCGUUCAACUUCUUAUUUCUGAUCACUGACAAAAUUUCAUAUGAGACUUUAGUGAGUUCACAUGCAUGAAUCCAAUCAUCAAUGACACAUCAACAUAAAUUAAUCUUAUAAACCUUAAAAUUGAGAGAUCAAAUUAAAAAUAAAUUAAAAUUACAAGAUUAAAAUAAAAAAAAUUAUUGUAAUAACUAAAAUUCAAAUCUUCUAUUUGCAUGAAUAAUUUGCAUAAUUAAGUUAUUCAACUAUAUUUUAUAUUUAUAAAAAAUAUUAAAAUUAAAUAAUAUUAUCUAUGAUCCUAUAUAAAAAUUAUUUUUUAAAUUCAUCGAAUAAUUCGCAUAUCCAAACUAUAUAAUGGGUCGAGUAAAUUAAUUAUUAAUAAAUUUAAAAAAUCAUUUUUUUUAUAAAUAAAACCAGAAAAAGUAUAUAUAUAACCGAAAAAACUACAUACUUUUUAAAUAAAAAAUAAACUAUAUUAAAGUUUUUAUUUAUUUAUAAAACAAAAUAUUAAUAACUAUUUAAAAGUCACACAUAAUCCUAAAAGUCAUAUCUUGUGUUAAAAGUUUAACCUAACACAGCUAAAAUAUAUUUUUUAAGCUAGCAAUAUCUGUUUUAAUUUUUUUCUUUUGUUUUCAAUUUGAGCUAAGAUUUACAUAAAAGUAUGUUGAAGUUUUAGAACAACUAUUGAAGCAUGUGUGUAUAUAACAAGAAGAAUAAUAACUCCAGCUAUCUUCCAUUUUGUAAUCUUCACUCCUCUCUCUAACUCUAACCUCCUUCUCCAUUUUUCACCACUCUCAUCUAAAACCUUCAGAUCAAUAUCUCAUUUUCUUAAAUGGCUUCUGUUUCAUAUGCACACACUUGAUUCAAAAUACUACAAAGUAAGCUUCAUUGUUUCCUCACUUUCAAUUAUCUCUUCAAUUUCAUUGUUUUUUGUUUGUUUGUUUGUGUUUGUUUGUGUAUGCUGAUUAAUGGAUUAUCAUAACCUAUUUUUGUUUCUUGUAAUGAGAAGAAUAACUGAUUUUGAUUUAUCUGUUGUUAUAGUGUUUUUUUUCUUCUUCUUACUGUUUAGGUUUUGUUGAUUUAUGCAAUCUUCUGACAUUGGUUAAGUACUGGAUCCAACAUGCGCUUUGAAAAAUCUUUAUAAUUUCUGUGUUUAUAUGCUUUUUCUUUGGUUACUUUGCUAUGGAAUUGAGUGUUUUUGCAUUUUGGGUUUGUGUAAUCUGUUGGGUAGAUAUUUGAAAGGGUUUCAUUUGUUUUGUUUAGGAUUAGAUGAUCUGUGAAAAAGUUUUGUUUUUUUAUGCUAUGGUGAAUUAUUUGAUUUUUUUUGUGUGUGACUGCUAUGUGUUUGUGAUUUUUACUGUGUGAAAAAUGGAGAUAAGUUGAUGCUUUGAUUGGAUUUUCAGAGUUUCAGCUGUAGUAAGAAUGUAAGAUGCAAGUACAGUGUUUGUGUCUGUUGUUUCUGAUUAUUGACAACGGAAUGGUUUUUAUGACUGGUGUUUAGUUUAGGGUUUAGGUUUUUUUAUGUUGUAGAUUUGAAAGAUUAAGCAUGUGUGGCAAUAUCUUGAAGUUCUUGCUUUUGGCCCUAAUCAGAAUUUGAUCCUGAAAUAGUAAAC
rnacentral:lncRNA from 1 species